UACGGGGGAAACCUCUACUGGGCCCAAUCCUGAACCACAAGCCGACCCCACUGUUCAAAUAGCUGCUGCUAUGCAGCAAAUGACCAAUUUACUAGCACAAGUAGUGCAACAACAGGGCCAGAACCCAAACCCUAAUCCCGGAAACCCCGGUAACCAUAUCGAGAGCGAGGAUAGAGCUCUCGAACGUUUUCAAAAGUUUUUCCCGCCAAAGUUUGUUGGGGGACCCGACCCUGACGUUGCUGAGAAAUGGCUUGAGAAGAUGGUAGAUAUAUUUGCCGCUCUACACUACCCAGACGAACGGCAGGUGACUUUUGCCGUGUUUCAACUUGAGGGAGCAGCCCGUUCCUGGUGGAACGUAAUUAGACAGAAAUGGGAGCGGGAGCAGACGCCUAGGACUUGGGUGAACUUCAUCCGAGAAUUUAAUGCCAAGUUUUUCCCUCCUCUAGUCCAGGAGAGGAAGGAGGAUGAGUUUAUCCGGCUCCGGCAAGGGGCUCAGACUGUGGCGGAAUAUGAGAGUCAAUUUACCCGCCUGUCCAAGUUUGCGCCUGAACUAAUCAUGACUGAGCAACGACGGGUUAGGCGCUUCAUUCAGGGUUUGAACGUUGAGAUCCAGAAAGACCUCGCGGCGGCUCAAAUCACUACGUUUAGCGAGGCAAUGGAAAAAGCCCAACGAGUUGAAAGUGCACGAAUGCAGGUUCGAAACUUCCAGGCUAAGAAGCGUGGAUUUCCUGGAAGUAGUUCGGGGCAGGGGGAUGAAAGUACCCCUUCCCAAGUUUGGACGAGGAACGGGAGGAGUAAGGAUGCCGGGAGUGUCACCGGAGAGGCCGUCAAGAGGAGGCUCGGCUUCUACAGCACGCGGACCCUGCGGGUAUUGCGGAAAAUUAAACCACUCAGAGGAUAACUGCUGGAGGAAAGGAGGAAAAUGCUUGCUCUGUGGGAGUGCCGACCAUCAAAUUGCUAACUGUCCAGCUCGCCUGCGCGAGCGGCAAGGGACUCUGCCACCAACCACGACCCACCCUGACCAGUCGAAGGGAGACAAGGAUGGAUCGAAAGUGUCCUCUCGGGUGUACUCCUUAGAACAACAUCAAGGCUUUGACCCAUUAGAGGACGUGGAAGGUAAGAAUUUACUGAACCUGGCCAGUGAAGGGGCACAGAUUUGUUAGCAAAGUAUAAAGCUCAAUUUAAUCUCGGAGUAGUCAAUGAUAAGGAAUUUCGAGGACGAAAUUCUUUUAAGGGGGAGAGAGUGUGAGAACCCGUAAAACCCUAAUUAUUUUUCCUAGGGUUUUAGUUCCCUUAAUUGCAUAAAUUUUGCAUUUUCUGGUUUAGAAAUAUUUUUCUGGUAGAUUUUAUGCGUAAUUAUAGUUUUUAGUUGAUUUUUUCUAGCAUUGGUGAGUUUUAGAAAAUUAAGAAUGUAUAUUGGACGUGGGACCCACUAGUGCGAAAAGUUCGAAAAAAUUCGGCCAAUUAGGUUAAAUUCCGGAUACUGUGUAAAAUUUAUCGGGUGUUAAUAGAUAAGUAGAGUGUGUGAAAUGAUUGAUGUGAGAGAAGAAAGAAAGGAUAGGAAUGCAUUUAAUGAGGUGACAAGUGUCACAUUCUCAUUGGUUGGACUUUAAGAAUUACUAUUCAGUUUCUUGACUUUUUUGACCAAAGGAUUAAAUAUCUCAAAAUUGCCCAAAAAUCACCAUUUUCUCCUCCAUGUUGGCCGGCCCUCCUAGCUCAAGAAGGAAGGAAAUUUCUUCAACUUUGAAGCUUCCAUUUCACUCAAUCUUCCAAGAACAAAAGCCUACACUAGGUUCCACUCCAUAAAAUCUUUCCUUCUAGUGCUAGUAAGUGUCUUAGUGAAGUUUGUUUGAAGGUUUAAGGUGACCAACAUCCCUCUCUCUCUUGAUUUCUUGGUAAGUGAUGCUUGAACACCCUACUACCUCUAAUGAUGCUUAUUUUGUGCUUAAUGGUGGCAUGAGUGAUGGAAUAUGUGAUUUAUUUCUUUAUUUGGAGUGAUUUGGUGGAAUUUUCCAAUUUAUGAUGAAUUUUCUGGUUUAAUAUGAUCUUGAUGUUGUGGCCUUGUAUGAUGAAUGGUAAUGGUUUAAAAUGACUCUAGUAGGUGUGAAUUGUUGAUAAAUGCAAUCAAUUUUGGAUUUGGAUGGAAAAAUGGAAAAUUAGGGUUCAUAAAUCCCUAAUUCUGUCCGUUUUGGAUCAUAGGGUUAGAGGCCGAAUUGGACUUUGCUCAAAACAUGAAAGUUGUAGGUAUUGAUGAGUUUGAGGUGCCUGUAAAAUUUCAGGCCAUUUGGCUUAGUGUAGAGUGAGUUAUGUCAGAAUUACUGUAGCUGUUCUGCUUUGGACAGAAUGCGAAAACUGCGUUGGUUUUUGGCUAUUUUGGCUGGAAUUGGUUUGGAUUUUGAAGUUGGUGUCUUCUGAUGAAAUGUAGCUGGAUGUCUUAGCUACCAUAUGCCUUUGGAAUUUCGGCAUUUGGACCUAUAUAGACUGAGUUAUAGUAAUUACAGUUUUGUGUGAUUUGCAAACCUGUUUUGGUCAUUCUGGUUUAGUAUUUGGCAUUUUUGACCUAGUUAAGCUAGGAACAGGAUUGAGUGACCUUCUACAUUGUUGUAGCCCUGUUUCAUAGCUUCGAAACGGUGGGUCUUACACCCCCAUCCGAUAAUCGUAGUGAAAUUGACGCCAUUACCGCAAAGUAAGGACAAAACAGUUUUAUUUUCAGGGCCAAGGCUAAAGCCAUUGUUUGAAUUUCUGGUUUGCUAUAAUGCUUGUAUAUGCUUAUGAAACCCUAUUGGGGUUGUGAUUGGCAUUGCUUUAUGACUCGUUAUUGAGUCUCAUUGUACUUGCUUAUGUGUUCUAGGGCGUGACGGUGGUUCACGACAUUCCCCUGACGGAAGUGCAUGACAUAGCACUUAAUUGCUUAGUGAGUAUACUACUCACUUACUUGUUAUAAUGUGGCUUUGUUCCAUGUGUAUUUGAUGCCUUGAAGGCUUAAUUGGUUAUUGGAAGUGAUUGAGGUGAGGGUGUACUUGACCGCCCUCACACCUUGUAAUUUCCUUCAUGGCUAUUUACUGUUUUACUGAAAUACUGCAAUUGUUAUAUGAGAUACUGAAUUCCAUGCAUGGAAACUGAUUUGGUGUCGUUUGGACGAGUAUCCAACGGCUUUACUGUAUUACUGAGCUCAACCCCGUUCGGUAGUCAAUUGGAUCGAGCCGGCGAGGGCUUGGUCGUGAAAAUUGUCAUGCCACGGGGACUGUACUGGGAAACCUUGUAGUAAUGAGACUCUUGGUUCCGGUAUACUCGAGUAUUACCAAAAGCUACUGAAUUGGAGUGCGGGCCCGGUUGGGGUAUGUUGGGUGGAAGGAAUGGAAGUAAAGUGAGGUCUACGGUUUGGUACUCUUAACAUUGACGGAGGGUCAAUGAGGUUGGAUCAAGAUUGCAAGCGUGGAAAUGGGCUCUUGAGAGCCGACUGUAUCCUUUCACUGAUUUGCUUUACUUCGAAAUUGCAUACUUGAAUUGAAUGGUUAUGCUUAUGUGAUCUUAACUGUUAUUGUGGUAGUUGCUCACUGGGCUUUAGCUCAUUCCGUGUUAUUUGUUUUCCUUACAGGGAUAUAAUUACUUUUGGGAAUGGAUUGGAUAGUUAAUUGCCAAGUUGAGCAUGUAAAUGUCUUUUGUAUAGCUCUUGAAAUGAAACCCUAAUGUGUAACGGGUUCAUUUCCUUUUGAUAGGCAAACCGAAUAUGUACUUCCUUAAUGAAUGGUUUUGGCCUGCCACUAUGGUUGUAAAUGUUGAAAUUAAAUGUAUAUUUAUGUUUGGAUGAUGUUUGGUUGGAUUUCGGAGUGACACGACUUUCAAACAGAAAAGAAAAAAAAUUUGGCGAAGAUGAACAGUGCCGAAUCCGGCCAGGAAUCCGGCCAGAAACUGGCCGGAUUGAAGGCCGGAUUGCUUGGAAAAAAAAGAAAUCCGGCCAGUUGCUCUCUGGCCGGUAUCCGGCCAGACAAUCCGGCCAGAAUCUUGGCCGGAUUGCCGGGCGGAUUGAGUGGGUUUUUGAAAAAAAUUGAGUUGCUCUCGGCCUUAUAUCCGGCCGAGAAUCCGGCCGAAAAUCCGGCCAGAUUCCGGCCGGAUUCUGACGUGUCCUGCACUAUUCAUUCCGGUUUCGAUUUUCAUUUUUUUUAUUUAGUGAUUUUGACUUGUUUGCGCGCUUUGGUAUGUUUCGGAACGUAAUAGAACGACGUAAACUGUACCGUUAGUCCUGGCGAGAGCUGGGCAGGCAGUCCGCUAACCCCUUUGGUUUGCCUUAGGGGAAGGUGGGGCUGUUACACAAAUACUAUAUUUGUGGCACUUAGUUGCCUAUGACCUGUAUUUGAUACUAUUAACUCGUUGUAUGCAUAUCAACAUAUGACAUGACUUCUAACUUAUGCAAAUAGCUAUACUUUGAUUUAAAGUGUUCUUGCAAUGUGCACCUGUUUUUUCGAUUCACAUGCUUAUACUUUCUACUUCUAUUAUGCAUUUAGAAUCUUGCUAAAUGAAUCGGUAAGAACAUGGAUGGGGGUGUGGGCGUGGGUUUCGGCAACCCCGCACUCCCGAGAGAGGUGAGGGAUCCGCGACUGGACCAAACCAAAACCCUAGAAAUGAAGAGGGUGACCAAAUGGUUACGGCCAUUAACCACAUGACCGAUAUUCUUGAGCGCUUAGCUGAGCGCUAGGGAUCUGAACCAGUCAACCAACCUAGGAACCAAGAGAGGGGUGAGGAUAGAGCUCUCGAGCAAUUCUUGAAGUUCGCCCCCCCUAAGUUCCAUGGAGGGUCUGAUCCCGAAGUAGCGAAAAAUUAGUUUGAAAGGAUGGUUGACAUUUUUACUGCUUUAGAUUAUACUGAGGAAAGACAAGUGAAUUUUGCCAUUUUCCAAUUUGAAGAAACAGCACGCUCGUGGUGGAAUGUUGUUAGUGCAAAGUGGGAAAGAGAACAAAUUCCUUGGAUUUGGGUAAACUUUGAGAGAGAUUUUAAUGUCAAGUUCCUCCUGCCAAUUAUACAAGAAAAGAGAGAGGACGCUUUUAUUAAGUUGAAACAAGGGUUAUUAAGUGUGGCUGAAUAUGAGGAGCGGUUCACCAAACUUUCCAAAUUUGUCCCUGAGCUUGUAAUCACCGAACGGAAAAAGAUAAGAAGGUUUAUUCAGGGGUUAAAUGUAGAAAUCCAAGAAUCUCUAGCAACAGCCCAGAUUACCACUUUUACAAAUGACUUGGAUAAGACACAAAGGGUAGAGAAUAUUAAGUCUCAAUCUAAGGCUUUUCAUGCUAGAAAGAGGGGUAACCCAAAUGAUACCCCUAAACUAUUCAAAAAGUCUAUCCAACCCCUUAAUAUGGGAAAAGAGGCUGGAGGAGUAAAUAUGCAUGACCAACCUGAAGAAACUCCAUCAAGCGAAGCCCCGCCAAAGGAAAUCGGGGUAGAAGAGAUCAACAAAAAGGGAAAUCUCAAACUGGUCAAACAUUGACUCCUCACGUAACUUGUGGAUACUGUGGUCAGAUUAACCACACUGAGACCGAGUGCUGGAGAAAGCAAGGAAAAUGUCUGAGCUGUGGUAGUGCCGAGCAUAAGUUUUCGAAUUGCCCUAAAGCUUCUAAGGGAAAAAGGAAUUCUCAACAACCUGUUAAAUCCACUGCAAAUCAGUCGAGUGCCAGAAGGAGUGAUUAAUGCUAAUGAUUGUAAGAGGGACCUAAGUAGUGGAAACUCUACGAGUAGGGGUGAAUUUGACUCCACUCGACAAAUAGGAAUCGUAGGUUUACCCUAACAUAGACUGGCACUUUUAGAGGUUGUAAUCUUUUGUAUAGGAGAUGACAUCCUUUUGUUGUAUAUUGCGACUUAGCACAUUUUGAUCUUGUUGUUUCCCCUUUUCUUUUGAAACGAUUUGAUGAACUUAUUAUAAUUUAGUGUAACUAUUAUGAUCUUUUAUGGUAUAUGAAAAUUUACCUUAUUUUUAAUUGAUUUUACGGUUUAUACGUAUAUGUACUCUAUUACUCCACGUCUCCAGACCUGUAAUAAGAUCAUAAAUGGCACCUAAGAAUAGUUAAAUUUCAUAAGUGUAAAUUUUGAAUGGGAGAAUUAAGGGUGAUGAAAGUUGGUCACAGGAGGAGGAAAUAUUUGGGGUUAUUUAUAAAUCAAGAUAUGAAUUUCAAGAAUGAAAUUCUUUUUAAGAAGGGAAGGAUGUGAUGACCCAAAUUUUUACUUAUUUUAAUCUUAUUUUAAUUGCUUAAGUAAUUAUUUAUUCACCCGUUUUCUCCAAAUAAUUUAUUUCAAUCAUUUUUAAUCCAUUUAUAUGGAAUAAUGUCUCCUUUAUGUUUUAAAAUUGUUUUGUUAGAAAAUUUUAUUUUCAGAGGCUCGUUCGAUAAGAAAUGGCGAAGACGCGUUUGUUGAGACUAUAUUCAAUCAUGAGUGCAAUAAUCUUUGGAGAUUUGAGGACUCAUGUUUUAUUUCUAAAAUGGUUAUUUUAUAAUUAAUUACAUUAGUAGUAGUUAAUUAUAUAAUCGUUAUAUGAAUUUUUCGUCAAUUUCGUCUUACCACGCGUGAAUUAGAAUUUCGCGAAUAUUGAGUUGGAAUCGUUAAACGGAGAUUUAAGAAAUUUAUUUCAAACUAUUAAGAGUGAAUAAUUAUAAUGUUUAAAAAAGUGCAUUAGAGGUUUAGUAUACAAGUGAAACAAACCCGAGAGGAAACAGGCACAAAACGCGUGCGUACGCGCGCUAGUGAGAAUUGACUUUUGUGCACAAGGCCACCAACCACCAAGCUUCUCUAGGAAGCCUCUUUUGAUCAGCCUUUGCUCCUUUUUCUUCACUCCAUGGCCGGCUGCAAUUCUUAGCAAGAAGAAGAACAAAGCUUCAUCUCAUUUUACAUCCAAUCUUUCAUCUAUUUCACCUCAAAUUUUGCACACAAGCUCACAACAACUUGGAGCAUCACCUAAGCUAGGAAAAGAACUUCAAAUCCAUGGUUUUUCUUGAGCAAGGAGGACCGAAAAUUCUGUCUUAAAUCAUCUAGGAAAGUAAGUGGCGAUCAACCUUGAAAAUCUUGACUUAUGGAAGUUGUUUAGCACUUAUGAGUUCAUAAUUUCUUAUGGGUAGUUUAAAUUGUUGGAAAAUUAGUGAGUGGACUCUAUAAACUCCCACUAUGGCUUGAUGGACUGAUUUUGUGAGUUUUAUGUUAAUAAUGUUGGAUUAGUGCUUAAAUUAGUAGAAAUAAGUGAUAUUAUGGAUGAAAGCUCAAAGGAAGUGAAGGGGAGAAUUUUUCUAUUUCUACCCCUGUAUAUGCCGUGGCUCUUAGAGCAAUUUUUUGUGGUUCUAAUGACUUAUUUAUGAUGUAUACAUGCUAUGUGGGUUGUGUAGAAAGUUUCAUCAAAAAAUUUCGAGAUUUGGAUGGGUAGAUGUUGAGUUUUCGAAAGUCCAGUAAAAACUGGAAUUUUUCCCAAAACUGCUCUGGCAGUGUUUUUCAAACGGCUAUAACUCUUUUCUCCGAUAUCAAAAUUGAGUGCCGUUGGUGGCACUAGAAACUAGACAUUCUCAGAUUUCCAACGGUAUAAAAUUCAUGUUCUGAUUCCACUUGAGUAGUCCAUACCAAUCAUUUGAACAUGACUGUUCUGUUUAGCGUCUACAAUGGGAGCUCUGUUUUGAGCAGCGAAUUGAUGCUCAAAUAUGAGCUAGCUGUGGACAGAUUUUGAAAACAAUUUCUCCUAAGAAAUUAUACCUUUAUGAAUCUAUUUUUCAACACCACUAACCAUGCUUAAUUUCAAGUUGAAUUGAGUGAGUUGUGGCCGAAAUCCAAAACUGACUCAAUGAUUUGAAACCCUCUUUUGGCUAGUAAAUGUCCAAAUCUUGAUUGGGACUUGUUGUCUCAAAAUUUUUGGUGUUAAUCACCUACCAAAUACAUCUUGGAUGUUUCUUAGACAUUACCUACACAAAUGGACCGUGUUUGAGAUAUUUUUGCUGGCCAAACAUUUUGAAAACGGAAAACUUAUGUACAAGGCAGAUUUGCCUUGAAAAUUUUGGUAAUCUGGUUAACCAAUUUUCUGUGCGUAUUUUUUCCAUGAAAAUUGAUAGAUGAAUAGCGAUCAUAUGAUAGUAUAAUGCUACCAAAUUUGGUGUCAUUCCGAGUUCAUGUCGAUGCUCAAACAAAGUCCCAAAAUUUGUAAAUUAAACCUGAAAAUUUGCCUAACCAUCUCAAUUUUUCAGUAACUUUGAGCCACCAUAUCUUGGUGCUCAAAACUCCGAUUCUUGUUCCACUUAUUUUGUUUUAAAUUAUUGCAACUCUAAUUGAUUUUCAAAUCUGAGAGGCUAGUUCAAAUUCUGUGAAUUUUUUCAAAUUUUCAAAAUUGGCGAAAAACCAACCUCAAAACUGUCUCGCAAGCCUAAAACAGUAACUUUGAGCCAAUUUUUGAAUGCCUUCCAUUGGGAAUCAUGGAAAAGUGUAUUCUAGGAAUUUUUAGUACUUUGGAAGAAUUUUCCAAAAGUACCAAGUUUUCCAAUUUUGAACUUGUAGCGAGUGAGAUACGAUUUUUCAAAUAUCUUGUAUCAAAGCUGAAAUUUUCGAAACUUAAGGAAAUGGAGUUUUUCGAAUUCUCCUUUUUCUCUCGAUAUCACUUAAACGUUUUACACUUGAUUUCAAAGAUGAAAACUCGAUUUCUCUUGUGCUUUAAAAACCCCACUUUUGAGUCUUGAUUCGCGAGUAAUUUAGGCUCGUUUUCGUGAAAUUUUCUUAGAUUGUACAAGUGUACAAUCAUUCGUGAUAAUUAGGGUUUAUACAUGAUAAUUCACUAUUACUUGUUCAGGCUCGCACGAGAACCUUCAAGAGGAUCCCACGAUGAACUCCUGAACUUCAAGUGACAUUUCUUCCUUGUUUACUUGGUGAGUGUCAAGUGUAUGUAAACCUGAUACGUGCUUAAUUAUUAUUAGUGAUUGAAGAUUUUAAAAAUGUUGAGUCAAUUGCGUACUUUACCGCACUCAAUUUCAUUUAAAUGAAUCAUGAAUGAGUUGAUUGAAAUGAAAUGAAUAAAUCAUGAAUGAUUUGAUUGAAUCAAAAUGACUGAAUCAUGAAUGACUUGAUUGAAAUGAAAUGAAUGAUUGAAUGUAUUGAAUGAUUGAAUGAAAUGAUAAAUUAUGUUAUAGCAGCAUAAGUCGAUUAGAGCGAUGCCUCAUCGACCAUUGAACGAUUGUAAGUACCACACCGAUUCGGAUGGGAGGUACCUCUCGAGUCGUCUCAGUACCCUAAACCUCGGAACAUAGUAAGUACCACAUCGAUUCGAGUGGAAGGUACCUCUCGAGUCGUCUCAGAACCAUAAAGUAUUCUAAGUCGAUUGGUGCGGAGUCUCAUCGACCUCUGAACGAUAGUAAGUACCACACCGAUUCGGGUUGGAGGUACCUCUCGAAUCGUCUCAGAACUAUAAAGUAUUCUAAGUCGAUUGGAGCGGAGUCUCAUCGACCUCUAAACGAUAGUAAGUACCACACCGAUUCGGGUGGGAGAUACCUCUCGAGUCGUCUCAAAACCAUAAAGUAUUCUAAGUCGAUUGCAAAGAAGUUUCAUCGACCUCUGAACGAUAGUAAGUACCACACCGAUUUGGUGGGAGGUACCUCUCGAGUCAUCUCAGAACUAUAAAAUUGAGCGAUAGCAAGUACCACGCCAAUUUAGGUGGGAGGUACCUUUCGACUCAUCUCAAAAACAUAAAUGGAAUAAGUGAAGUGCUACGAAUUUGAUUACCUCCCUGAGUGACGGGGUGUCGCCACGAGAAGGUAUUAAAUUGAUCUUGGACAAAACAAUUGAAAAUUAGCUCCUGAGAGCUCCUGCAUCCGACUCAAGUGUGUUUAUUAAAAAUUAUGAAUUACUUGGAUGUUAUAGCUUUCAUUAUUGUGUAAGUGCUAUUGUUAUUGAACUACGUGUCUUGCAUGUUUUCUUGGCCUCACGAGCGUUAGAUUUGUUUUCCUUAACAGGAGAGGAUAUGAGAGGAAUUAUGGAGAAGUUUACUUGGUGGCUCAUUUGAUUAGAAUUUUGAAUGUAUUUGUUUGGACAACUUUUGGAAGUUGUAUAUUUUGGAAAAAGUAAUUGUAAGUUUAAAAUUGUGAUGUAAGAUUGAAUAUUUACAUAUGGAAAUGACUUCGUACUUUUAUUCCAAUUUUCUUUGUUAGUAUUAGAUUUUAAAUUUGAAUGGGAAUUGUCUCAAGUCCUAGCGAGAGUUGGGCAGGCGUCCCAUGGAUACUCUUGGGUUCGCCCUUGGGAGAAGUGGGGGCGUCACAUCUAUCAGUCUACAAAGUAAUCAUCUUUGUGACUUUACCGCAGGGACAAAUAAGAAAUGGAGGGCUCUGAUAUUUCCGCAUUCUUGCUUAUUUCGUGGCACACUUCUCUCCCUUCCCCUUGUAAUUCGUGUGUUGAGAUCUAUUAGGGAUUUGGGUUUAAAAAAAAGGGAAGAAAAUGGAGGAUUCAUUCACUUUUUGCUUAUUUUUGUGCGAACAAAAAGGCCCGUCUAUAAAGCAUACCACCAUUCGUGUGAUUUGAUUUUUUGGUUGCAAAACCGGAUAAACUAGCCAAAAGACCCAUGGAUUCACAAUUUUGCAAGUUCGAGGGCUAAAAGUUGACUACUAAUAGUUUGAUGGUUGAGUUUUACCUAAACUAAAAAUUCAAUGGCCAAAUGGAUAAAUUUCCCAUUCAUUAAUAUAAUGUACUUAAUUUCCUUAAAGAAUUGUAAAUUAUAACUACUAAAUUGUAACAUUCAUGUUAUAUUGUUUCUAUUUUUCACAAUAUUUGCAUAUUGAUAUUACCUUAUUGUAAAAUAGAAAUAUUCAUGUUUUCCUCGUUAGAAUUGUAUCUUUUCUAAAGAAAUAUGAGAGUAGUAUAUUAAUUAUAUGCGACAAGAUUAGCAUUACCAUAUAAUAGGUAGAAACUUUCCCAAGUUUAAGUGAUACAUUUGUAUAUUUAUGUUGAAAUUAAAAUGUUAUAAUGGAAAAUUUCUAUAUUUUAUUUCAAUAUUUGAAUAUAUUUCCAAUUUCAAGUAGUAUAUUAUAGUUCUUGUAUGUUUAUAUUAGGUAGGAUUAGUAUAUUUAAUUAUGAUUACUAUAUGAUGGGUAAGAAUUUUCCAAAUCAAAGUGAUACAAUUAUGGUAGUGUCUAUUCAAAUGUUGAAAAGAAUUUAUUAUGAAUAAAAUAGUUAAAAAUUCUGGAAAAAGAGAAUGAGGAGUUGGAGGCUCAAUGGGAGAUUUAGGCUGAAAAGUCAUCUUCAAAUAUACAUACAUACAUACAUACAUACAUAUAUAUAUAUAUGUAUGCAUGCAUAUAUAUAAAGAAGCCUUCCCUAAUUCCCUUGGUCUUUUAGUAUCUUAACAAAAAUAAGUUUGGCCAUUUAAUACCUAUAAAAAAAAGUUAAGGAAACAUCUUUGCAAUUGAUUAAUUGUACUGAAAAUAUCUAAGAACAUAUGAAUGGUUUGAAGAUUAAAUUAAGGAAAAAUAUAAAUGAUUAAUGAUUUGAAACAAAAAAUUAUAGAAAUUUUCCUGCUUCUCAUGAUAUAAACACCACAUAUGAUAACUAUUAGGUUGGCCUAAUAUCCAGGGGAGGAUCCUUAGAGUUUGCCCCACUGUUAGAUUCAAGAUUCAAAUCAUGGACCUAAAAGUUAGAAAUAGGAAGGGUGUAGGGAGGUGUGGGAGUAAAAAAGUUUUUUAAAAAAAAACACCGCAUGUGAUUUUAGGGGAAGAAAAACAUAUCAUGGCAAACCCAAAUAUUUUUCAUUUAUUUGCUGUUUCUAGCAAAAUGUCUUAUUCUACUAAGAAACUUGCUCCACCAUAAUGCAGGUAUGUUUUUCAAUUUCUCUCUCUCACUCUAUGGACUCUAUGGAUGAGAUAUAUUUUGUAUUAAUUUCAAAGUCUUUUAAUGAUUUAUCAAAAUUGACCACAAACAACUAUAUAUGUGUUAAUAUCUUUUUAACUUACAUAAUCAAAUUAAGUAUUUUAUAUGUUUCUUAUCCAAUAACAAGCCAUGUAUUUCUUUUUGUUUUCUUUUAUUAUAACAUUUAAUCUUUUAUUCUUUGAAUUCUCAAGAGUAAAUAUAGGAAAAUGUUUUACCAAUUAUGUAUUAAACUCUUAAGUCAAACAAUAGUGCUUUACAAAAUCAAGUGCUAAUAAUCAUAAGGCAAUCACAUAAUUUAGAUCUAAUGUGUUAGCAUUAAAAAAAAUCAAUUUAUCAAUUGGCCAAAAAUAUGGUCUCAAUUUUUCCUUUUUAUCAUGAUUAUACGUAUGGUGACCUUUACUUUAGUUUUUAUAUUCAUGUUAGUCAAUUAGUUUUUUUUUUAACUCUACUAUCUUUAGUUGGAAUAGAGAAAUUAGCUCCAUGUCCUUUUUUAGCAAGUUCUAAAACAACCAUACAAUCCUAAUUAUUCUUAUAAUUGUUUAGUAUUUUCUUUUCAUCAGUAUAUAUUUCUGGUAUGUUUUUUUCCUUUUUCUCUCUUUUGUGUUUGACACUAUUAUAACUAUAUUAGGUUCUCAUUAGAAUAUGGCCAAUACAAUACUCUUCGAAUGAGGGUAAGAUUUAAGAUGAACAACUUUUAUUGACACAGUUUUAUUUCUUAAAUAAACAAGAAUGCAUUUGGAUGGUUAGUUUGGAAAGUGCCUUAGGAAUUCUUUAAAAAAAAUUGAAUGCUAUUUCUAACAAAUUCCAAAGAUGGCAAAUUUUUUGUGAAAUUUAGACCCAAAUUUCAAUUUUUCCCAUAGAUCACAAUUUUCACCUUAGAUUUGGCCAAAACUAUUUGAUAAGUGGUCCAAUGAGUAGUGAAUAGGGAAAGGUGGUAUUGGGAGGUGGAAGGAAGAUAAUUUGUAAGAUGGCGUGAGAUGAUGAUAGAUAAGAUUACAAUGGCAAGUAGGAGAAAAGAUUUUUUAUUGGGAGAGGGAGGAUAUGUGUCUUGCAGGGUAGGAAAAAGAAAAAGAUUGCAGAGAUAGGGAAAAUUAGGUAUGUUAGGCAAGAAGAGGGUAGUAAAUGAAGGAAAAUAGUAUCUUAGAGAGAGAGAGAGAGAAUGAAGGAGGCAAGGUUGCUGAAUAAGGAGAGUGCGGUAAAAAGAAGGAGAAGAAUAGCAAGAAAGAUGUGAUUACAUGGUAGAAGAGGCAAUAGAGAGGGGAACGAGGAGAAUGGUAGUGAUGUGUGUGUUUGAUAUAUUUUUUAGACCUUAUUUGGGUAUUUUUUUCCCAUUUAAUUUUUGUGAGUGUGGUGAAAUGAAGGGGAAGAAUAGUAGGAAAGGUGUGGUUACAUGGUCGAAUGAGGAGGAUGUAGUGAUGUCUGUGUUUGGUAUAUCUUUUAGACUUUAUUUGGGUAAUUUUUUCCAUUUUUUUGUAAUUUUUUAAUCUUUUUUAUAGAUGAUGUGGUUACUUGAAAAAAAAAUUGUCAUCUAAUAAUGCAACUAGAAUUAGAUUUUUUUUUAUUUGUUAUCCAUGGAAUCAUAGAUAGUUUAAAAAUAUGCAAAAUUCUCAGAGCACAAUAUAAUGAAAGAAAAAAAAAUUUUGAUGGGAGAAAUUUUUAUAAGCAAUUAUAAGAAUAUAUGACAAUUAAACACAAUACUCAAGCAAUUUCAAAGUUUUCUUUCAAGUUCAUGAGUGGAGUUUUUUCCUUUGCUUUUAUUUAAAAUAAUACAUUUUGGUAAAAGCUAACACCAUCUUGAACUUUCAGCUUUUUCUUUUCAAAUAACUUGUUUAAAUAAAAAUAAUUUUACUAGUUUAAUUUGAAAUGUUAAUCUGUAUGUUGAAUUUCUUUUUGAAUAUUGAUGACAUCUUAUUAAGGGUAUAAUAAUAGCUCCACUGGGACUUAUGUCCCUACCCGCCAAUGUUCUCAAACUACUUAAACGUUGCAAUUGUCAAAGCUCUUUUCCAUUUGCAUCAGUGAAAUACAUUCGUUUCUUUCCUUGUUUACUACAUUAGCUUCAUUGCUGGAAUACCACUUAAAGGGUUCACCUUUUUCCUUUUUUUUUGUUGCAUUUUCAACCUUAAUUGCAUAGUUCAUUAUCAUAUGGGAUACGCAAGGACAUUUGUGGAAUGUACAAACUCAUUAGCAAUUUGUGCGGAUGUUCCAUCGCAUAAUUUCUAACAUAAGCUAAAUUAGUUACAAACCAAGUUAAACUAAAUGAUGCAAAAGUGACAUUUAAGAUGCAAGUGCAAUUUUUAAAAUUUCAGAGGUGCAAAGUAAAAUUGUCAAGAACAUUAGAGAAGGUUUUUUAAGAUUAAAUGGAGAUCCUGUUGUGCUUCAUUCAAUAUAAACAGUUAGAUAAUUAUAUUAAAUAAAAAGUUUGACUACAUUGUAAUUGAUAGGUUUUAGGGACACUACGCAGCGGAAAAUAAAAAUUUUUCCCUAAAACUAUCCAGGUAUCACCCUAAAUUUUACGUAUGAUGCAUUAAAAGGAGGGUUAUAGGAUUACCUUAAUCCUUGCGGUGUCUCCCUGUAGUGUUGUUGAGGAUGGUCAGCCCUUGAACAGUCCAGCCGUCCUGCCUCUACUGAUAUCCACGCUAGAGCAACCCUGGGUCGUCUCACGAACUAUGUAUUGAAGAGCAAGAAAAAGUUGCUAGCCCUUCUUACUCUUAUUCGAAGUAUGUGACGCUCACAGACACUCUCUUUUGCCCUUUUGGUUACCUUCACCCUCUCAAAAAAAAAACCUCUAGCUUUCCCUUAGAAGUUAAAAGGAGAGAGAGAGAUAAUAAGAUAGAAUGAUGAGUCUUGCUGUCUGAUUCAAAAUCAAACGAUAAGACUUCUCAUAACACAAGACUCUAUCUAUUAGUUAUCUGACAGAUAAGAGAUAAUCGCUCACUCUUAUCUACUCAAAUAGGCCUGAGAUUUAUUUUCUUUUAAAAUUAAACCCCGAUAAUUUAUAUAGUUUUAAUCCAGGAUUAAAUCUCUAUUGCGUGUGACCCAAUAGGUCCCGAAUAAAUUGGUAAUAAUUAUAGUUUAAUAAUUAGAUAAAAUAAACGACUUUAUUUUAUCAUAACUUAUAAUAAAACAUCAAUCCAUAAUUCUAGACCACGAGCGGUGUCUAGCAACAUAUCGCGAUUGCCCAAUUCCUCGGAAUUAGUCAAGGGAAUUUGACCUAAUCUUUCCGUGAAAAAUUACCGUGUAAUUAUUAUCCUUUCACCAAAGAUAUCCAAUUAGUCAGGAAUGAGGAAUAAGUGCCAAUUCCCUGAUGACUAAUUAAGUUUUUCUAGUUCCCAAAAUUUACCCUGAAUUAGGUUAAAUUGAAGACAUUCUUCAAUUUAUCUAAUAGUCAACUUUAGGGUUAAUUUUCUACUAGUGACCAUCCGGAUAUCAACUCCUUCAAUCAGAGUGGUAAAUUCUAUCUUGAUCACCCAUUUUCUUUACGUGCUUCACACUAUAUCCAACUUCUACACUUUAAGGUACUCAUGAAGAGUAACAAGUAAUUAGAGUCAAAAUGUAGUGAUUCACACUCAAGAUACUAUGGUGAUCUCAAGUCGUAGGAUCACUUACACAAUUUUUCACUAGAGAUACACCAUUGGCACUAGAUAGAUAUCCUAACGGAAUCUCUAAACGGAUCACUCCAAUGCAUUUGAACUCUUCAAAUCAUCUACACAUUAGCCUAGAUAUCUUCAUACCAUGUUUGAUGAGAACAACCAUUAAUUACCUUAAUCAGAGGCUAACUGUGUACUAGUUUUACCGUACUAAAGAUGUCCUAUUUCAUUAGUACUAUAACUAGAGAAUUCUAAGAAUAUUAUUAUAAAUGCGAUUGAUAUCUCAUGGUCAUCAACUCUUGUGACUACCAUCACAUCAGUAAAUAUUCUAAGGACUUUAUCGGUUAUAACUAAUAUUUAACAGAUUAAUAAGAAGUUUUUAAAAUACAAAACAUAUAAUAAGGAAUGCAUAAAAUAAAACAAAUACAUUGUUUUAGGGCAUACACUCCAACAAUUUCCCACUUGCACUAAAACACAUUAUCCAUGUUUUCCAUCCCAUAAGUUAAUACAUGACUAUCAUGCUUCUUUUGAGAAAGGACUUUAGUGAGAGGAUCAGCUAUGUUAUCCUCUGUGGAGACUCUCUCUAUCUUUACAUCAUUCCUAGCAACGAUUUCGCUAAUCAAGUGAAAUCUUCUAAGCACAUGUUUGGAUCGCUAAUGAGACCUGGGUUCCUUGGAUUGAGCUAUAGCCCCAUUGUUAUCACAGUACAAAAUGACUGGAUCAACAAUGGUUGGAACCACACCAAGUUCAGUUACGAACUUCUUGAUCUAAACUGCUUCCUUAGCUGCUUCCACGGCCGCAAUGUACUCAGCCUCUGUUGUAGAAUCUGCUGUGAUGUCUUGUUUGGAACUCUUCCAACAGACGGCACCUCCAUUAAGAGUAAAAAUGAAGCCUGACUAUGAUUUACAAUCAUCCUUAUCUGAUUGAAAACUCGCAUCCGUAUAGCCUUUGAGUUCUAACUCACAUUUUUCCAUAUAUUAAGAACAAAUCUUUGGUCCUUCUUAAGUACUUAAGAAUGUUCUUAACGGCUGUCCAAUGACCCUCACUUGAAUUAGCCUGAAAUCUGCUUCUGACACUCAUAGCAUAUGAGACAUCAGGUCUUGUACAUAACAUAGCAUACAUAAUUGAUCCAAUUGCUGAAGCAUAUGGAACAGUAUGUAUCUUAUCAGUCUCAACUUGUGUCCUUGGACACAUAUUUUUAGAAAGGCUUUUACCAUGAGUCAUAGGUAAAUUACCCCUCUUAGACUGAUCCAUGCUAAACCUUUUUAGCACUUUUUCUAUGUACGUAAAUUGUGAAAGACCUAGUAGUCUUUUAGUUCUAUCCCUGUAGAUCUUAAUGCCUAAUAUAUAGGCCACUUCUCCUAAAUCUUUCAUGGAAAAGUUCUUCGAUAACCAACCAUUUACCGAUUGUAACAUCGGCAUGUUGUUUCCCAUUAUUAAUAUGUCAUCUACAUAUAGAAUAAGGAAAACAAUCGAACUCCCACUAACCUUCUUAUACACACAAGGUUCAUCCGAAUUCUUGAGAAAUCCAAACUCUUUGAUCGUCUCAUCGAAUCGGAUGUUCCAACUCCUAGAUGCUUGCUUAAGUCCGUAAAUAGACUUUUGUAGCUUACAUAUUUGACUAGAAUUUGUAGAUGUAAAGCCUUCAGGUUGUGUCAUAUACACAUCCUCAUGCAAUGUCCCGUUUAGGAACGCGAUCUUUACAUCCAUCUGCCAAAUCUCAUAGUCAUGAUAUGUUGCUAUUGCAAGCAAUAUCCGAAUGGAUUUAAGCAUAGCUACUAGUGAAAAAGUUUCAUCGUAAUCGAUUCCCUCUUUCUGCUUGUAGCCUUUGGCUACCAGUCUAACUUUAUAGGUAACCACAUUACCAUCCAUGUCAGUCUUCUUCUUGAAGAUCCAUUUACACCCUACAGGUUUUAUCCCUUCAGAUGGAUCAACUAAGGUCCAUACCUUAUUGUCAUACAUGGAAUUUAUUUCGGAAUUCAUGGCUUCUAACCAUUUAGAGGAGUCUGGAUUGCUUAUUGCCUCUUGGUAGGUAGUAGGUUCGUCAUCUUGAAUGACUAGCACAUCAUUGCUAUGGCUCACAAGAAAUUGGUAUCUCUUGGGAGUUGAGCGUGUUCUUAUUGACCUACGAAACCCUUGUGUAUCAACAGCUUCUGUAUCUACCUCAUCAUUAUGUGGUUGAAGCUGUUCUACUAUAGGUUGUUCAAUGUUUGUUUGAUGAUCUUGAAUUUUUUCAAGAUCUAUUCUACUCACACUACUUCUUUCUUGAAUGUAUUCUUUCUCUAGAAAUAUAGCAUGUUUUGAGACAAAUACCUUUUGUUCAAUUGGAUUGUAGAAAUAGUAUCCUAUAGACUCUCUUGGAUACCCUGUAGACACCAAAUUUUUGAACCAUUUUAUUUUACUUUUAGUUUAUUUUUAUUUUUAUUUAUUUAUUUUAGUGAUAAUUAUUAUUUGUUAGUUUCAUAAUUUUUGUUUUGGGUACUUUCUAGUGUUUGUUCAGCAUUUUAGAUUAUUAUUGUCUAUUGUUUCAUUUUAGUUCUAUUUUGUAUUCAUUUUUUGCCUUUUUAUGUUGUUUAUUUUUAUUAUAAGACUUUUAACAUAAAAUUGGUAAGGAAAAAAUGAGAAAAAGAAAAUUGUUCACAAAAUAUGUUUAUUUCUUUUAAAUUCAAUCUUUUUGGCAUUUUUGUUUAUUUUUGUUAAGUUAUUUUGAAAAGAAAAAAAAAGGAAAGAAAAACGAUGAAAAAUGGAAAAGGAAAAAAAGGAAAAUGGAUUUUGCACUUUGUUGUUUCUAGUUUAUUUAUUUUUAUUCAAUGUUAAUUAAAUUGUUUUUAUUAUUUAUUUUUAUUAUUAUUAUCAAUUUUGUUUUAAUUAAUCUCAAAAAAAAAGGCGCAGAACUAACAGCAUGCAAGAAGCAAGAAAACGCAGUUUUUGUUUUCAGGGGGUUUUCCGGUCCUUUUCGCUGUGUUUUCUGGCUCCGUUUGAUUAGGCAAGUACCGGCCAUCUGGCUCCAUCUAGGAGCUCCAAUUCAAGGCCAUGAUCGAUGGCUAGGAGGGGGGCUGGGGUGCUGAAAUCCUUUGUGAGCCACCCAGAUGGAUUUUGAGGGUUUUAAGGACCAGGUGUUCCCCUAUAAAAAGAAAAUAGACGGCAAGAAAAGAGAUAGAGAGUGACGGCCGCAGAUUUGGAGAAGAGAAAGAAAAGAAAACAAAAAAAAACAACGGCUGAAGACAGCUAGAAAUCUAGGGCUAGAAGAAAAAGGGGUAGAGUGAGCGGCUAAGAGAAAAAGGGCAGAGGUUUUUGGAAUAGCAAGAAAGAAAAAGAACAGCGGCUAAGGAAGCUAAGAAAAGAGAGGGCGACUGAUUAAGAAAAGGGGAGAGAUUUUAGUAGCGGCUGAAACCGAGAACAAGAGUGAAGAUUGAAGAGGACGGCGAAAAGAAAAACCUGAAGGAUAACCAAGAGAGUUGAGAGUGAAGCUGGGACAGAUUCGAAGCAAAAGAAAAGGGAGAGGCUACGGGCGAGAGAGAAAGGGAACAGCAACCAAAGGAGAGAGGAGGAGGAACUGCCGGAAACUUCCUUCAUCGGCUGAUUUUUUUUACCGACUGCAUUAGCUUCUGUCGACCUCUUUAAGGUAUACUUCCAAGUUCCCCAUCAAAGCUAUAUUUUAGAUCUUUAUUUGAAGUUCUGGGAUGAAGUCUAGUUUGUUUUUCUUUUCCAUAAAUCUGCUGAGGAAGGAUUGAACUGUGAAUCUUGUUUUCCUUCUUUUCUUGUUUCCGUUGUCAAGGGUUUUGUGGAAAAGCUAGAAUUUUUUCUGUUGAUUAAAACCUCUUAGCAGCAAUCUUGAUAAAAAUUUGAUCUUUCGGGUUGCUAAACCAUUUUACGUGAAUGUAUUGUUCAGAAUUUCUUUGUUGCAAUAGUUAUUUUAUUGUUGCUUGUUUGUUUGGAGUUUAAAGUUAAGCAGCUUGUUGUUUGGUUACAUGAAUCUGGUUUGCUUGAUGAAAUGAAAAAGCCGCGGCUGGGUAAAAAUUGCAGAAAACUUGCGGCACUUUGUCUCUUUCUUUCUAUUGUUGUUUUUGCUGUUUACUUUCAUUUUUGUUGGUCAGCUUCAUUUUUUCUGUUUUCGAUCCUGCUACGAAGUUGCGUGUUUAGUCGAUGAUGGAUAGGUAGAAUUCUGGUUCCUUGUUGAAUCUGCUUGCAUGAUGAAAUGAAAAAAAAAGUUGCAGAAAAUUGUAUCUGAAAAAUGCAGAAAUGUUCUUGAUGGUAGCGACUGGUUUUUUUUCUCUUGUUCGUUCAUAUGUUCCAGUAGCAGUUUUCCUUGCGUUUCUGUGGAAUUUGGAGGAUUGCUUAAGAGCUUGUUUGAGAGGUUUUUGGUUUGGGUAGCAUUACGCAAGAUUUUAGUUUCUGUUUUUCUUUUACAAGGCAUGCGCGUGAUUAGGAACUUAGAAGAUAGAAGCCAUCAAUUUUCUUUAUCUUACUUGGGUUUGUUUGUUUUGGGUGUGGGUUGAAGUUUUCAGAAUCUUUUCAUAUCAUUUUGUUGUGUUCUUACUAUUUGUGGUAGAACAAGUUAGGAUUUGUUUGAGUUGGGUUGCAUAAAUGUAUCUAGGCUGGAAAGAUAAGAAACCACAUGAGUAUGGUUACAGAAGGCAGCAAACCUUGUUUGCAGAAAUUUUCUUCGUAUGCAUGCAUGGAUUCACUUUUGAAAUUUUCAUUCUAACCCCUCAAGUCUCUCCUUGUUUCGCUAUGACCCAGAAAUUAAAAAAAUUAAUCAAUUGGGUCCCUGAAAUGUUCCUCCUCAUGUCACAAAGGCCCAAUAAUGUUCUAUAUUCUUGCAAUAGGGUCCUAGAAGUAGUUGCAUUUUAACCUUUACUUGACCUUUUCUUUGCUCUUGGGCCCUUGAAGUUCCUAAAAAUGUUUAAUUAGGCUUGAGUGCUUGGUUAAUGUUCACAAUUGAGUCCUUGGUAGCCUCAAUUUUUCAACUCGAUUGCUUGUUUGCUUUCAUUAAUGACCAUGUUUUGUUAAGGUGGUGCUUAAUUGCAUGAAUUUGUGAAUUUUGUGUCUAAAUGAGCUUGUCCUUGCCUAUUUUCUUUAAUUUUCCUAAAUAAAUUGGUUGCUUGACCUUCUUUUGCUCUUGGACCUUUAAAGUUCCUAAAAUGUUUCAUUUGGACUUGAAUGAUCGACUAAGAGUUGUUUUGAGUCCCUAGUAGAUGCCAUAUUUGGGAAUUGGAGGGGUCAUUCCGUUUCUUGGUUUUCAUGCAUUAUUUGAUCAUUUUUAAGUUGCAAUUGAGGAAGGAUUCGAUGAUUUUGGUGGAUUCCGAUUGUCUUAUACAUGUUUUACCAUUAAGUUGGUACAUUAACCCUUUGUUUUGAUGGUUAUUAGCCCAAGUUAUCCUUUCUUUGGUGACUAUAGCACAAGUUAAGUCUAGUCCACUUUAUUAGCACCACAAAAGGGGGAGGUAUAAUUUCUUUUAUCUUUUUGUCUCUUCUAUGUGAUCCAACGUGCUAAGUGAGAAUUGCAUGUCUAAUUUGCUUUUCUUACCUUUCUUUAGUUCCUUUAUUUCAUUCAUUCUUGCUUUUAUUAAGUUAUUCUUUUAAUGGGGUAUGUGUACACCUCUUGGCUUGUAAUAGAUAGGGCUUGGAGAGCACUUGAUGAAGACCUAUUGAAGACGUGUGCCUAGCUAGCAAAUGUAAUAGGUUCAUUAGUUUGAUGGCUUACUUUUGUUGCUAUGUGUUAAUUUGCUUUAUUAGGCUCUUGCAUCUAGUCGAGCAUGCUAAGUGUUAUGUGCUACGUGUUUAUGAGUGUUUGGCAUGUCUACUUGCUUUCUAUAGUCGUAGAUGAAUGUGAUGGAUGAAUGUACGUUUCCACUAGUCCAACUCUAGUAGGAAUUCAUAGAAAGGGCUAGUCCAAUGCUAGACCCAAUAGGUCGUCCCUUCUCGAUAGUACAUUUUUGCAUGUUCCACUACAUUUCAUGCAUUUUUCUUAGUUUUUAUCAUUUGGCAUGCUCCUCCAACCUUUUCCCUUCAUUUAGGCUUUUGCAUCUCAUGCUAGUCGUAGUGUACAUUUGCUUGAGAGUCCCCUUUCGAUAAGGGAAACGAGCGAGUGUGGCUACCAAAUAGUCUUAGCACGCUAGUUCUUCCUUCUAAUCAAAGGGAAAAUCAAAGUCGUAAAGUUAGGAGUCCUUCCCGUACCCAACUUGAUGCAUCCCCUUAGGGUCAUACACUUGCAUUUUUUUUAUAUCACCUCUUCACCUUUUAACCACAUUUUCUCAUUUUUCUCAAUCCACACUUUCUCAACAUCUUUUUAUCACUUAUUUAUUUCUUACCUCACAAAUGGCACUCAAAAUUACACUUAUUUGUAUCUACUAUUCUAUUUUUCAUCCAUUUACACACGAACACCUUUAUUUUAUCACAUUUGCACACUUGCACUUACCUUUUUUUUACAUUUCGCAUCCUUCAUACAUUUUCACACUUGCACAUAUUUGAGUCUUCAUUUGCAUUUUCCUAUGACCUCUAUGAGAUUCUUCCUAUUGGCCAUCACAAACCCAUGUGAUUGGGACCAAAAAUCUCAUAAGAGACAUUUAGAUUUAGGUUUGCAUUUUCCUUUCCAUUUCGCAUUCAUCUAGUCAUAUCCAACAUGCGAUACAUACCUUGGGUAGAAAAUUAGGAAACGUGGGGCUAAGUCACGCAACUAGCUUUGGCUAGGGUAAGGGAGCGCCUUAGGCUCCGCCUUUGCCUUCUCCCUUACCAAACGUGACCCCCGAUCCGUUUCUUUGGUUACGUAGACCUAAAAGUUUUCAAAAAAGGUUUGUUUACUUUUUCAUUCAAAAACAAAAAUCAUUUUUGGGUGACUUGGUACACCCUAACUAUAUACCAAGUGGCGACUCCAUUUUUUCAUACAUAAAACCCUUUUGAACUUUACUUGACCAAAACCGUCGCAUUUUACAAUCCCACGGUCUUUGCUUUCACUUCUAUACACGUUCACACAUACUACUUACACACACACACAUUAUCAAAAAGUGGGGCGCGACAUACCCAACAAACAAACAUUUGUCAGAUAUAGCUUCAAGUUUGUCUGACUCUGCCCUCUUCACAUAAGUUGGGCAGCCCCAAACCUUCAUAUAAGAUAUAUUUGGUUUCUUUCCUUUCCAUAACUCAUAUGGUGUGGAGUCGACAACUUUAGUGGGUACUCUAUUAAGAGUAUAAGAGGCUGCAUCUAAUGCAUAUCCCCAAAACGAUUUUGGGCCACUUGAGUGGCUCAUCAUAGAACGAAUCAUGUCCAAUAACGUUCGGUUUCUCCUUUUAGAUACACCAUUUAACUGUGGUGUGUCUGGAGGGGUCCAUUGUGAAACUAUUCCAUUGUCCUUUAAAUAAACUCCAAACUCAUCAUUUAAGUAUUCUCCACCACGAUCAGAUCGUAGUACCUUAAUACUUUUAUUGGUUUGUUUUUCUACUUCAUUCUUGAAUUCUUUAAACUUUUCAAAAGAUUCAUAUUUGUAUUUCAUUAAAUACACGUAACCAUAUCUCGAAUAGUCAUCUGUGAAGGUGAUGAAGUAUGAAAAACCACCUCUAGCAGUAAUCGGCAUUGGUCCGCAUACAUCAGUAUGUACUAGGCCAAGUAAAUCACUGGCUCGUUCCCCUUUUCUAUUAAAGGGCAUUUUUGUCAUUUUGCCAAGUAAACAAGCUUCGCAUGUAUCAUAUGAUUCAUAAUCAAAUGAGUCCAAGUAUCCAUGUUGGUAUAACUUGGAGAUGCGUUUUUCAUUUACAUGACCAAGCUUACAGUGCCAGAGAUAGGUUUUAUUUAGUUUAUUUUUUCCCAUUCCUUUUCCACUCAUAUUGAGAAUUUGAUGAUCAAGAUCUAGAAUAUAUAAACCGUUAUUCCAACUUCCAGAACCAUAAAACACACCAUUUUUAGAAAAAGAACAAAAUUUAUUCUCCUGGGUUAUUCGAAACCCAUUUAAAUCCAAACAGGAAAUAGAAAUGAUGUUUGUAGUAAGUGCCGGAACACAAUAACAAUUUAAUAAUUCUAAAAUCAAUCCACUGGGUAAAAUGAUAUAAUAAUUCCCUACAGCUAAAGCAGCAACUUUUGCUCCAUUGCCCACACGUAAGGUGACUUCUCCUUUCCCCAACUUUCUACUAUCCCUUAGACCCUGCAUAGAUGUGCAAAUGUGAGAACCACAUCCGGUAUCUAAUACCCAAGAGUCUGAUUUGGAAGUAGACACAUUAACCUCAAUCAUAAAUGUACCUGAUGAUGAAGCUUCAGCAAGCUUCUUUUGCUUCAGGCUCUCCAAGUAUGACUUGCAGUUCCUUUUCCAAUGUCCAGCUUGAUUACAAUGGAAGCAGGUUGCUUUGGACUGGUUCGCCUUUGCCUUUUUGGGCUUUUGGGUGGGCUUGUUUUUGGAUUUCUUAAAUCCCUUUUCUUGCCUCUUCCUUUUCUUAGAGGAAGUAACGACAAGCACACCAGUAGAGCCUUUCCCCUUUUUGAUUUCUUUCUCAGCAGUUUUUAGCACAUUCAACAAUUGAGGCAAAAUGUGCUGCAGAUUAUUCAUCUGAUAGUUCAUAACAAACUGUGAGAAAGAAUCUGGCAGAGAUUGGAGCACUAAAUCAACAUUCAGCUCAUGAUCCAUCUUAAAGCCUAAUUCGGCCAAUUUUUCAAUUAGCCCAAUUAUUUUUAAGAUAUGCGGAGCAACAGGUGCUCCCUCUGCCAUCUUGCACCUGAACAAUUCUUUGGAGGUAUCAUAUCUAACCGUCCUUGAUUGUUGUUCAAACAACUCUCUCAGGUGUUGUACAAUAUCAUACGCCCCCAUGUUCAUGUGAUGCUGCUGAAGCUGAGGAGUCAUGGAAGCUACCAUGAUACAUGAAGCUUCCCUAUUAUCAUCCUUAUGUUUCUUAUAAGCAUUUCGAGUAGCAGCAGGAGCAUUUGGUUCAGGUUCCUAGUGCAUAGGCCUAUCAAGUACAUAUUCAAUUUUUUCAUGAGUGAGAACGAGUAGGACAUUGCGAUGCCAAUCGAGAAAGUUUGUGUCGUUAAGUUUGCAAUCAGUGAGAAUGGUACGAAGGCUCAAAUUGUUACUCAUUCUACAACAAAAUGAAAAGAUAGAAUUUGUUAGAAAAAUGUUUUGUUUAAUAAAAUCAUAAAAAUUUCAAAAAAUUAUGAUUUUAUUUCCACUAUAUUUCUCAAAUCAAUUACCCUCUUAAAUUGAUUCAGGAAUUUUUUUAAAAUUCCAUAGUGGCUAGGAUCCCAUCUUAAUUUAUUUCAAUCUUGAGUGUAAUCCAACAAAUCAAAAAUAAUUAUGAAAGAUAGGCACUUCACCAAUUACAACUUAUUUGUAAUUCCCAAUCAGUUGGGCGUCAACUCUUGACUUUAAAUCUAUAAGAACCAACCCAACACUUACCUCUAAAAUUAAUGAUUUUGAGUGAAUCCCAACAAAUCAUAAUUUUAGUUAAAUCAAACCCAUCAGUCUUUGAGAACAUUUCUCAUAGCAAAAACACGUAGUAAGUAAGGCAGCCUUGGGUGAAUCCCAACAAAUUAGCACUUAAUAACUACUCUAGUUUUAAACUAUAAUGAUGGAAGGUAUUUCAUUGAUUUAAUAUUGCAGUUGAGGGAUUUGUUUCCUUUUUCCAAAAUAUUUUAUAAUUAAAAUUUGAAAAAAUUGCUCGUCUGGUCUCAUCAAUAAACAUGCAUAUAACCAUUUCAAAACUUACAAGCAUGAAUUUAAAUCGUGGAUGGUUGUGGAUAUUCCUAAACUAAUUUCCCCGGCCACUAGGGAAAUUAGCAAUUUACUAAGGUCUCUGAAUACGAGAUGAACCCCUUCGUCGUCGUAUGCCUCCUUUCUGCUUUUCAAAAAUUACAAUUUCUAUACUAAUUAUACAAAUUCCUAUCAUCUAUUUCCAUCUAUUGCACAUUACAAAUAGUAUAGAAGAAACCCCGAAAUACAUUCGGAGGGAUAUUAGACGAGGAAAGAAAUUACAAUUAGAAAAUAAGAAAGGCAGGACACGCAGGACCUAUUUUAAAAUAAUUACAACCAUUCAAAUCAAGAAUAAUCAUAACCAUUUAAGAAAACCAGAAUCAUAUUGCGUACUAUAUCCACAACCAUCCACCAUGCAUUCUCACAAUUUAAACAACUUUAAAUAAAAGAAAAGCAUGUAAACAAGCAAUCUCAAUUCAUGGAUUAAUUGGAUUUAACUCCUAAGGUCCCAAACAAAUUUUAGGUCCGUUCAUAUGCAAGAAAUUUUGGUAAAAUUAAUUUUUUAUUAGGUCAUUCUUAUUCCUAACUAAAUUAGGAAAAUAAUUGGGAAAAUAAUUUCAAUUAAUCAAAUUAAUUGUGAAUCAAUUCCCAACCUAAUAAAUAUGAAUAAUAGAUCCCAUAACACAUUUUUAACAAUUAAAAAAAAUUUAAUUCAAAAUUCUCAAAAGAGCCAGUUACUUAAAACACUACUGCUUUUGUUUUCUAGCACUUCCGGCAACCACCACUGGCCACCACCGCUUAAGCCACCACCGCUGAGGUCUCUACUAACUACCAACGGCAGCAACUCCUAGCGGCAGCCACCAGGUGAUCACUGGAAGCAACCACUCAGCUGCAACACCAUGCUUCCGCUACGCCUGUCUUGUUGCUGCACUUCAUUAUCCAGCAGCACCGGCAACCACCACAGGCCACCAUUGCUUUAGCCACCACUACUAAGGUCUCCAUUGACCAUCAAUGGCAGCAACUCCCAGCGGCAUCACCAGGUGGUCACAGGACGCAACUUCACGGUUGCUACACCAUGCUACAAUUUUUCUUGCAAAUGUUGGCUGCUGCUAUUUUAACCCACAAAGCUCAUAGCUCUUCUACCUAGCAGCUUCCACGAGGGGUUUAACCUCCCUCCAUCACCAAGGUGAGCUACCAUGGCUCAUUUGACAGCAAUGGCUGGUGACAGCAACUUGCAGCCGCAAUAUCGCAGCAUCCGCAGGUUUAUAGUUGCAAACUUGCUAUAUCGUUUUUUUUUUUCUCUCAAUGAUCAUCCUGCAACUUUUGCAGAUGAUCAACUCAAAUCCACAGGUUAAGCAAAUCCACGGAAAGAAAAAAAAAACAAGUGUCUACGAUCCAACAACAGCUCCAUCCGAGCUUCCAUAAGAGAAGACGUACUUAGCUUCAAAAGCUUCGUAAGAAAACCCUUUUUUUUGUGUUUUGAAAAACCAAAAAAAAAUUCUCCCAUAAUUCCGCAUAUUCAAUUAAAUCCAAUUAGCAAUAUUAAUCCAUGAAUCCAAAAUUGCCUAAAAUCAUACGUAAAAUUCUAAGGGAUGGCUCUGAUACCACUGAUAGGUUUUAGGGACACUAUGCAGCGGAAAAUAAAAAUUUUUCCCUAAAACUAUCCAGGAAUCACCCUAAAUUUUACGUAUGAUGCAUUAAAAUGAGGGUUAUAGGAUUACCUUAAUCCUUGCGGCGUCUCCCUAUAGUGUUGUUGAGGAUGGUUAGCCCUUGAGCAGUCCAGCCGUCCUGCCUCUACUGAUAUCCACACUAGAGCAACCCUGGGUGGUCUCACGAACUAUAUAUUGAAGAGCAAGAAAAAGUUGCUAGCCCUUCUUGCUUUUAUUCAAAGUAUGUGACGCUCACAGACUCUCUCUUUUGCCCUUUUGGUUACCUUCACCCUCUCAAAAAAAAACCUCUAGCUUUCCCUUAGGAGUUAAAAGGAGAGAGAGAGAGAUAAUAAGAUAGAAUGAUAAGUCUUGCUGUCUGAUUCAAAAUCAAACGAUAAGACUUCUCAUCACACAAGACUCUAUCUAUCAGUUAUCUGACAGAUAAGAGAUAAUCGUUUACUCUUAUCUACUCAAAUAGGCCUGAGAUUUAUUUUCUUUUAAAAUUAAACCCCGAUAAUUUACAUAGUUUUAAUCCAGAAUUAAAUCUCUAUUGCGUGUGACCCAAUAGGUCCCGAAUAAAUUGGUAAUAAUUAUGGUUUAAUAAUUAGAUAAAAUAAACGACUUUAUUUUAUCAUAACUUAUAAUAAAACAUCAAUCCAUAAUUCUAGACCACGAGCGGUGUCUAGCAACACAUCGCGAUUGCCCAAUUCCUCGAAAUUAGUCAAGGGAAUUUGACCUAACCUUUCCGUGAAAAAUUACCGUGUAAUUAUUAUCCUUUCACCAAAGAUAUCCAAUUAGUCAGGAAUGAGGAAUAAGUGCUAAUUCCCUGAUGACUAAUUAAGUUUUUCUAGUUCCCGAAAUUUACCCUGAAUUAGGUUAAAUUGAAGACAUUCUUCAAUUUAUCUAAUAGUCGACUUUAGGGUUAAUUUUCUACUAGUGACCAUCCGGAUAUCAACUCCUUCUAUCAGAGUGGUAAAUUCUAUCUUGAUCACCCAUUUUCUUUACGUGCUUCACACUACAUCCAACUUCUACACUUUAAGGUACUCAUGAAGAGUAAUAAGUAAUUAGAGUCAAAAUGUAGAGAUUCACACUCAAGAUACUAUGGUGAUCUCAAGUCGUAGGAUCACUUAUACAAUUUUUCACUAGAGAUACACCAUUGGCACUAGAUAGAUAUCCUAACGGGAUCUCUAAACGGAUCACUCCAAUGCAUUUGAACUUUUCAAAUCAUCUACACAUUAGCCUAGAUAUCUUCAUACCAUGGUUGAUGAGAACAACUACUAAUUACCUUAAUCGGAGGCUAAAUGUGUACUAGUUUUACCCUACUAAAGAUGUCCUAUUUCAUUAGUACUAUAACUAGGGAAUUCUAAAAAUAUUACUAUAAAUGCGAUUGAUAUCUCAUGGUCACCAACUUUUGUGACUACCAUCACAUCAGUAAAUAUUCUAAGGACUUUAUCGGUUAUAACUAAUAUUUAAUAGAUAAAUAAGAAGUUAUUAAAAUACAAAACAUAUAAUAAAGAAUGCAUAAAAUAAAACAAAUACAUUGUUUUAGGGCAUACACUCCAACAGUAAUAACCCUUUAAUACGCUGAAUUGUGACAACAAAAAUCAAAGACAUAUUCUCAAAAAAUACCUAAAAAACAUGCAAGCGUUGCAUGCUCUAUGAACACUGUGUGAUGAAAUACACCUUGUCUAGUAUGUAGUAUAUAAGCUUAUGGCCAACCACCAUUACUUGGUGACUGGUUAUUAAUAAUAGUGAAGCACAAAACUACGCCAAGUAAUGCACGUGGAAUAUCUCCAGAAAACAACAAGGUAUUGCACAGUCAAGAUAUGCCAUGUGGCCAUACCAAGAGGCAUAUCAAUAACAUCCAGGUUCCAUAUCAAGCAAAGACGGAGAUAAACCAUCACUAUAGUAGUUAACCACAUGUCAAGGGUUUAAACUUUACUUUCUAUCACUUUGCCACUAAUGUAGCUUCUUUAUAUUCAUAUGGGUAUAUAGUGCGCAAAUAUUAUCUAAUAAUGGUUCAUUACCCGUUGGUUCCCCUUGACUCAAUUGGAUCACCCCUCUAGAAUAUGCUAAAAUAGGGAUAGGAGUAGAAAUAGAGUAAGAUGGAGUCCCUAUCGGUUCCCUUGACCCAAUUGGGUCAUCUCUCUAGAAUAGAUUAGAGUAGGAGUAGGAAUAGAAAUAGAGUAAGAUGAUAACGAUUGAUUUAAAAAAAAACAAAGACGAAGAUACAAUAGGGCGGCAAAACUCUUGUUAACAUUUUCACCUAUAAUUGGUAAACUCUUAGCUUUUUUUUUUUGCAUAAUCGUUGGUUAUUUUUUAUUAGAAUAUAAGGGGAAAAAAUACUUGAUGCAGCUAGAACGAAAGUUGCACAAUGAGGGGUUAACUCUUAGGUAAUUGAUUUUGAUUAGCAAGUUUUAAGAUUGUCUAAGGGCAAUUUGGAUUAAAUAUAUUAGCCAGAUUCCAGAAGAAUUUAUAGGUGAAAACGGUUGGAUAUUCAAUGUUUAUUUCCUUGUAUGUGGAAUGGAGUAAGUAAAGGUAGAUCAAAAGCGUUUGGAGUUUAAAAACUCAAAACAGCUUAAAAAUUGUGAGUACUCCUUUAAAAAAGUUAUUUGAAACUCAUGCACUAUGUCUACCAAAUUAUGUUUCAAAAUUGGAGACACUUGUUUAGUGAAAUCUCAAAUCUUGCAAUAUAUAAAAGAGAUUUUUGUGAUUUUAAACUAUUGAUUUUUCAUACCUCAUGGAUUAUUGUGCAAACAUUUUGAAUUUAAAUUUUUGAAGAUUUAUAAAAAUACGACGAUUUUGUGAACUGGCUUGUGGAUCCGAAAGUUGUUCAUAUGAUUUGUGUAUACUACUUUAUAUUGCAUAUGUUCUGUGAAUCCGCAAAUAAACUUUCGGAGAGGAUGUGAAUUCGGUUGUGCCAAGGAGUUUUUAGGCCCUUCAUGUGUUGACUUAUGGAAAGCCCUUCAUGUGUUGACUUAUGGAAAGCAGGAAAGCAUUGGGGUGAUGAUAAGUAAUAAGUAACCAUGAUCUGUGUCCAGCAAGAUCAAGAGGUUUGAUCUUAUGUGGUAUGGUUGAAUUUUUUGGAUAUAUUCUAGGUAUCCCAUUCUAUUUUUGGCUGCUGUGUAGGCAAAUUUUGGUGUGAUAUGGAAGCACUAAGUUGCGUGUGCAAUCUAUGAAGUUGUAUGAAUUUUCGUUUGAAUCAGCUACAUCAAUCAAGUUUUGGUAAAAUCCAUCUGAUUGAUCAUUGUGUGCAAUUUGUAAAUAUUUUACUCCUCGAUAUUUAAUCUUGUGAAAAUAUUCAUUUGAUAACUUUGAAAAAUAUUUGAUACAUAAAUUUUGAACCUCUAUCAUGGCUUAUUAAUAUUUUUAUUGAAUGUCAUUUGCAUACACAAAGAGACUCAUUGGGCAUUAACUCAUCAAGUUCAAUUGUGUCAUGUUAAUGAGGAUUUAAGGGGCGUUUGGUAAAAGGGUAUCAGAAUGAAGAAUGGAAUAAACUCCAUAGUUGGUGUUUGGUUCACUGGAAUGGGAAUUGAAAUCUUGGAAUGAUUUCUAAAAACUUGGCAUCCCUUCAUUCCUUAGUAAAAGGAUGGGUUUUGUCCAAAACCCAAGUGUGAUUCCAAAAUCUUUACCGAUUACAUAAUAUUUAGUAUAAUUAAUAUUUAUAUAUUUUAUAUAUAUUAGAUAUAUUAUAAUAUAUACAUAAUUAUAGUAUAUUAUAAUUAUAAUAUUUUAUUAUAAUAUUAGUAUAUUAUAUAAAUAUAUAUUAUAAUUAUUUAGUUAAAUAUAAUUAUAUUUAUAUAAUAUAUUUUUAAAUUUAUUAAUAUUAUAUAAUAAUAUAUCGAUAUUAUAUGUAUAUUUAUAAAUGCAUAUUAUAUGUGCAUAUAAUUAUAAUAUAAACAUGUAUAUAAUAUUCAUAAAUUAUAUAACUGUCGCGCCCCAUUUUUUGAAUAAAUAAAUAAAUGGUUUAAAAAAAUGUAUUGUUUGAUUCAAUAUGUGAUUGGAAAAUGAAUUGUGAUUUAAAAGAAAAGUGGGUCUAAAUGGGGAUUUGAGAAUGCGACGAUUUGACCCAAAAUUAUAGUUUAAAAAGGGUGAAAUCAGUUUAAUUUGCCCAGAUUUUGGGUCACAGUGAAGUUAGACAGAAAUUGAGGGGUUGGAAUAUAAAUUUCAGAAGAAUUCCAUUCAUCUUCUUCGCAGACUUCUGCAACUUCCGCAAACCCGACAAUAAACAUAUCAGCAUGGUUACCAAUGAUUUAGUUCAAAUUCAGCACCAGCCAUUCUCAAAACUCACACAAACUCCCUUUUCAUAUAAUCUCAUGACAUAAUUCGAAUUCACAUCAAAAACAUCAAGCAAAACAGCAACAAAUGCCAAAUAAACGGAUGCCAAACAAACUAUCCGAAUCAACUAUGUUGACAAGCAUGGACUGGCCGAACAUAUGCAAACAGAAAUCAAUCGUCCUUCAAACAAAAUUUUAAGUUAGGCAUUUUAACAAACAGCAAGUAGGCAUGAGAAAUUCCCGAAAUUCUCCGUUCAAAUGACAUAACUCAGCACCCAAAAUUAUCAGAAAUCCCAAGUAAUUCAAACCAAUUUAACACAUAAAGCAUAUAUUCUAAAAUUCAUGAACAAUCAGCAUGAAAAUUGGAUUGACAGCCCGCGGCAGACAUGAUUUGAAAAUUUUCAUGGUCUGUGCUUGGAGAAACACUAAAAUGGACAGGAGAUGAUAACUUACAGACAGCCAUGGUGGAAUCCGACGAGGUGGUGGCGAUGGAUUUUGAUGAAGCGGUAGCGGCUCCUUGGGCAGGCGGUUGCCCACUUACAGCUGCCUGGUGACCGCUAUAGUGGUUGCGCGUGGUGGCGGCGGCGACAGACAGCACCAGCGGCGGAUGCGAGGCUGGUGGUGGCCGGUUGAGAUAGUGGAAAUUAUUUUUGCAGCCGUGACUGGAAUUUUUUCCUCUCCUUUGAUGAUUGAAGUUGAAACCUCCAUCUCCCUUGCCCUCUGUUUUCUUUUCUGCCCCUUUUCUGUUUUGUCUCAAUGCCCGAUAGCUCCUCUCCCCUGUUUCUCAAUUUUCUUGCUCUCUGUUCUUAGUCGAUGCCUCUCUCGUUCCUUUACUCUCAUUUUUUUUUCUGUUUUUCCCAAACCGUCAGCCUCCCCUGUUUUCCUCAAACUCUUGCUCAAAAAUUCCGCCGCCACUCUCUCCAAUUUCUCCCUUCCUUUCGAAGCCUCUCCCUCGAUUCCCAGAUUUUUGUUUCGUUCCCUUUUUCUUUGCAUCCAAUCCAGCCUCUGUCUUCCUUUUGCCCGAUCGUUGUUUUUCCUUAACCGAAGCCCCCUUCUCUUUUUUUCUUUUGCUUUUCCCCCGUAAGCUUUUUCUCGGUUCCUCUUUUGCUCUGUUUUUUUCUUUUUUUUUGUUUUUUCGUCCGAAUCCUUUUUUUGUUUUUUGUUUCCUCUGUUUUUUUUAGCCUCCCUUGCCGACCAUCCUCAAUCCUUUUUCAUUUUCUUUUCCCUCAAAAUUCUCAAACCUCUCCAAGUGUCCUUAAUACCUACCUCCUAUACACUUGUCCUAUAAUUCCUUAGACACUUGUCUAAUGAUUAUUUUGUACACUUGUCCAACAUGCACACUUCCACCUAUCCACACAUUUUUCCUUACUUUUUGUCAUUUUCAUUUUUUUUCAAAAAUCAAUUAAAAAUAAGUUAACAAUUUUCAAACCAAAUUUAAGAGAAUUAAAGCCACUUUUAACAUCUUACAAAAUGAAAAUGAUGAAUCUAACCCAAUUAAUAAAUAAAUAAUAAAUGAUAAAAAUGAAAUAAUAAAAAUUUGGUGUCUACAGUUUGCCCCUCUUUGUCUGAGUUUUGGAAAAAUUCGAGACAAAGAAAUAGACACCAAAUACUUACCUGCAUUAUUCGGCUGCAAAGUGAUUCCAACGAAUAAGAAUUCUAGAACGGGACUGACCCGAACAGAAAUUUGAAUGGGAUAGACCCACGGGAUAGACCCGGACAGAAAUUUGAAUGGGAUAGACCCACGGGAUAGACCCGGACAGAAAAUUAAAUGGGAUAGACCCGGACGGAAAUUUAAAUGGGAUAGACCCACGGGAUAGAUCCGGACAGAAAUGUAAACGGGAUAUACCCGGACAGAAAAUUUAAAACGGGAUAGACCCGAACAAGUUUUUAAUCAUGGGACUGACCCGAAUAAGCUUUUAAUCAUGGGACUGACCCGAAUAAUCUUUAAAAUCAAGGGACUGACCCGAAUAAAACGAAAAUCAUGGGACUGGCCCGAAUAAAAUGAAAAUCAUGGAGUGCUCACUAGUGGGACUGACCCACGGCUAGUGGCUCAGUAAAAUGAAAUGCUCACUAGUGGGACUGACCCACGGCUAGUGGCUCAGUAAAAUGAAAUGCGCACUAGUGGGACUGACCCACGGCUAGUGGCUAAGUAAAAUGAAAUGCUCACUAGUGGGACUGACCCACGGCUAGUGGCAAAACAAAAGGAAAUGCUCACUAGUGGGACUGACCCACGGCUAGUGGCUGAAUAAAAUAAAAUGCGCACUAGUGGGACUGACCCACGGCUAGUGGCUAAGUAAAAUGAAAUGCUCACUGGCGGGACUAACCUCACGUUCCAGUGGCUGUGAAAAUGAAAUGUCUUGACAAUCGGACAGUGAGAUCAAACCCAAGCCUGCCGUGAUGAACUUGAUUUGAUUUUUGAUUUUUAUUUUUGAUUUUUUUUAUUUUUAUUUUUUUUUUUGACUUGUUGAUUUUUUUGAUUUUUCCUGACUGAGAGAGACUUGUCGAAAUAAUUUGCCCCAGUGUGAUGAAUUGGUCAGUGGGAUUAAACCCGAGCCUAUCCAAUGAAAUGUUGGCGGCACGAAAUCCAGGCCCAACGGGAUGUUGUGAAUGUUGGCGGCACCAAGUCCAGGCCCAACGUGAUCUUAUGAAGUUGGCGGCACUAAGUCCAGGACCAACGGGAUAUUUGGGACGUUGGCGGCCCAACGGGAUGUUGUGAAGUUGGCGGCACCAAGUCCAGACCCAACGUGAUGUUGUGAAUGUUGGCGGCACUAAAUCCAAGCCCAACGUGAUCUUGUGAAGUUGGCGGCACUAAAUCCAGGACCAACGGGAUAUUUGGGACGUUGGCGGCACUAAAUCCAGGCCCAACGGGAUGUUGUGAAGUUGGCGGCACCAAGUCCAGGCCCAACGUGAUGUUGUGAAUGUUGGCGGCACUAAAUCCAGGCCCAACGUGAAUUUUUGAAAAGUUUGUGAAUGGUCAGUGGGAUAAGACCCAGUCCUGCCAUCCAAUUGGUCAAGAAAUUGAAUUUGAUUUUCCAAGAAACAAGAAUUUGAACUUGAUUUUUGAUUUUUUUUUUUUUUAGAGAAUCUUUCCAAAAAUAAUUUGUCCCCAGUGUAGGGUCCAUUUUUCACUUCUUUCUUCUCUUUCUUCGGCAUCGGCUUCCCACAUCACCAGAUGCUUUUUCGUCAUUUUGAACCAUGAAUACCUGUACAAGGGGUUUAACAAAGCAUGAUAUGCACUUAAAUUCCAUGAAAAGAGCAGCGGGAUUGAUUCGAAAAAUGUUAUUAUUUGAUUUUUGGACAAAAAUUUCAAAUGUAUUACAAAAAAUUUGCCCCAGCAUGGGCUUAUUUCAUGAAAUCUCACAAAUAAAAUUUUUUGCCCCAGUGUGGGCUCCCUUGAUUGCAAAAAUUUGUUCAGAUGAUUUCCCAUUUAUUUGAACAAAGAAAAACCGCACUUUCUAAAAUUUAGAAAAGAGUGCACAUAUACAACAAUGUGAAGAAACUUUAAACGUCAAGUUUGAACUCAUGCAGAAAUUUCAUGAUGAAUUCCUCGAAAUAACACCAAAUUCAAGAAGAUUUCUUCCUCACUUUUAGCAUUGGUGCUUAGGGUAACGGGUCACCACUUCUGGUUGGCUCAUCUUUUCAGGACCAAUCAAGUGACUUUAUUUUUGAAAUGGCUAAGGAAAUGGGAGGUCAGAAUUUGUCUCAUUUUUGUGCCCCAGUUGUAUGUAAUCCAUUCAAUGUCACAUCUUAGUGAAAGCAAAUAGUUUGUCACCCUCAUUUCUUAAGAAAAUUGAGUCAACAUAUAAGCUUUAAGUUUGCAACAAAUUGGUAAGAACGAUAGCUAAACAUGCGAAAACUGGUUAUACCCUUAUGAUCACAAAUGAUUGAUGGAUUUCUUAUGAGUAUAAUACUCACUUUGGAUUGUCAUGAAGGAAUAAGUCAACGAUGGACUUUGUUAGCUUGUAAUGUGGCUUGAAAACGAUAGCUAAAGAAUAAAACUUUCAAGGACAUAGCACCGAAAAUCGCAUUUUCCCAAAAUUGCCCCUAUUUUGAACUCGAAGAUUCUGAACUUUGUUUGAUCACUCAAUAGGGACUUCACCAUCGAAUCCUUUGUAUUUCAUUUUUCCUUUUGCUUUUCCGUUUUCUUUUCUUUGAUCUGGUGGGUUUUCCAUGGUGAGUAGCGUCAACCUCAUACUCAAGCAAUUCAGAAAUACAGCUAAAAUUUUCCGACAUCAGAAAUUUUCUUGACAGGGUCAUUGCAAAGAACAAAAGUCAGGACUUUCGGCUUUUGUAAUGGGGUCAGGUGGGGUGCUUAAAAAAGUUAAGUCUUGAAAGCGGAUUUCAAAAGUGGUUUGAAGAAUCUGAGAUCGCAUUGUUGCGCCAACCCUAUUUUAGGGUUAAAUCAGAAUUUGCCCCAGUUUAUGCUCAAUUGAGGCUUUUUCUCUUUCAUUUUUCUUUUUCUUCUUUUGAUUUUUCGGCUUUCUGCCAUUUUUUUGAAAUUCUCACAAAAUUUGCCCCAAUUUAUUUUUGAACUGAGGUUCUCUUUUUCCUCUUGCUUUUGAUUUUGUGGCUUUUCACUUUUUUACUUCUUGAAGUUUUCCUUUUCAACUCCAACUUGCCCCAGUGUGGGGUUUGCGAUUCUCAGGGGUUGCUAAAUGAAGUAUUUUAUUCUGAUGGCUCAAAAGGGAUAACUAGGGAUAGAAUGUUUGAUUGGAAAAGAAGAGGGUCUGACUUUUAUUCCGUCCCUUACAAUAACUCUGAAAGGAAACUUUCGUUAAUGCGAAAUUUUUUUGCAUGGAUCUGAAUUACUGACUGAGGAAGACUCUCCAUAAGUGGUUCGUCGGACAAAACCUUUCCUUUUUCCCUUUUUCCAAAAUUGAAGCCCAGAUAGAUUCAAAUUUCUCCAAUUUGUGAUUCCCUCUUUUCUUUUCUUUUGGCAUUUUUGCUUCUUUCUCUCUUUCUCUCUUUUUUUCAAAAUUCCCCAAUUUCCUUCCCCAAUGUGGGGGGCGAUCAUAUGUGCACUCGAAAAGAACCACCAAUUUUUAGCUCAAAUGAGGAUGCAAGGGAUAAACGGUGUUUAGAUUGUAGAAAUGACAGCCAAAGCAUCAUUCUUACACCUCAUGACAACCAAAGUAACGAAAUGGUCAUUGAAAAUCUAUUCCCCUUUUUAAUGUUUGAAAAUUUUCCAAUAUAGGGUAGUGAUCAUUAAGGCACUUAUUUGAAACGAAAUUAUUCUUUCAAAGGCUCAAAUGAGAGAGCAAAUGAUAAAAUGUGUAUAGGUAGAGAAACGAAUGCUCGAAGUAUCAUUCCAAAUUUUCAAAACAAACAAGAAUAAUGCACAUUUUGCUUUCACUUAGAUGUGAAUUGAAUCUAAUUAGACACAAUGGAUAUUCUUCAAGCAAAAAUUGCCCCAAUUUGCAAUUUAUCAAUCAAUGUGACUGAUUUUAUUCUGAGCCAAUAGAAGUGGGCAAAAAUAUGAAUUGUACAGUGAAGGAGAAAAGGUAUCUCAUUGGGCCUUUUGAGUGACAUCUUUUAAUUUUGAGCACUCUUAUUGUGCAGUUUGAAUUGCCAAUUUAGUGUACACGAGGAUUUUAGAAAGCAUACACUUGUGUGAAUUCAGGCUAGAGGUUGAAAAAAUCUCAAUUUAGUUUUAUUUUUCCAAAAUUCAUCAUGGAAUCUCUAAUGAGCAAGAAUAAAGAAUGAAAUGUACAUAUACACAAGACAAUAAUUGUCCAAAAAUUUUAUUGCUGAAAAAGUUUGAAACAAAAAUUCUCAUUCAAUUAUGAUACAAAUGAGAAGAGAGAAACUUGUAAAGAGCUCCACAUAUACACUUUCAUCUCCUUUUCUUUUGGAACAAAAUUUAUUAACAAAUCGAAUAAACAGAAUUUCCCUUUGGAAAGCAAUUACAACAUCUCUCAGAGGCUUUAGCGUAGAGCUUCCAGAUAGAUCAUUUAUGUUUUCAUUGUAGGAUCUGCCCAAGAAUCAAAUAACACUUGUAAUCUUCAAACUUUAUUGGAUUAAAAUUAUCAUCAGAUAUAGAAGAAUAUUUUCGUCUUAUUGAAACAUUUUUAUGAAUGCAAGGGAGGGGGGAAACAAAAGAAAAAUACCCUGAGUUAGUAAGAAAGAAUAUAAAAUCGGUAUGCAUGUUCUAUGGGGGAACCCUUUUAUGCCAAGGGUAGGCCUAGCAUGAAAAUGCAAUCUUCCAGAGCAGGCACUAUACAAUACCUGAUGGAUUCGAUCAACUCAUUGAGUGAAAAAUAAUUUGAAAAAAUUGGUCAAUAUUUGUCAAAAAUGAGGUCAACGUUCGAAUGGAUUGAUCACUUUUGAUCGAUACAAGAAUUUGCAAAAACGCGCGGGUUUGACCUUGAUGAACUUCCUAUCGAAGAGAUUGGAAUCCGUUGACCAAAAAAAAAUUUUCAGUAAAGCACGGGUCAAAACCCCAACUGAUCAAAUGGCUGGACGCAAUGGAUGUUUUUCACAAAAAUCGACUAAGUUUCCCAAUUUGAAAUUGACAUUGAAACCCUGAUUGGUCAAAUGGGUUAAAUGAAAUUGACCAUUUAUUUAAAAUCGACCGGAUUACCCUAAAAAGGGAAACAUGUCAAAUGAAUUGAAUGAAAUUUAAUUUAUCCAAAAUUAAUCAGAUCACCCUAAAAAGGGUAAAUUGAUCAAAUAGAUUAAACGAAACUUGAUUUAUUCAAAAUCGGCUCGGUUGCCCUAAAAAUGGGUAAAUUGGCCAAAUGAAUGAAAUUGAAUUAGUGAUUUAUUCAAAAAUCAGCCGAAUGACCCUAAAAAGGGUAAAUUGGUCAAAUGAAUUGACGAUUUAUUCAAAUCGACCGGAUAACCCUAAAAAGGGUAAAUUGGUCAAAUGAAUUGACGAUUUAUUCAAAAUCGACCAGAUGACCCUAAAAAGGAUAAAUUGGUCAUAUGACCCUAAAAAGGGUAAAUUGGUCAAAUGAAUUGACGAUUUAUUCAAAACCGACCAAGUGACCCUAAAAAGGGUAAAUUGGUCAAAUGACCCUAAAAAGGGUAAAUUGGUCAAAUGAAUUGACGAUUUAUCGAAUGAAUCGGCAAAAUGGAUUGGUUGAAUUGUCCGGCCAUUGGUUAUUUCAAAAUUAUUGAAGUGCAUUAGUCUAUGACCUUCUAAAAAUCAAUUUUUGGCCUCAAUUUAUUUAUCGUCUCAAUAGGAGGAAUCAUUUGUGAAUUUCUUCAAAUUAAUGUCCUUCACGCAAGGGAUUUUUACCAAUUUUUGAUAAAAUGGCCAAAAAGUGAUUAUUAGAUGCUCAUAUUCCAAAGAUCACUCUAUGAAAAUGAUCGGAUCCUACCUUACCUUGUGCACUACCCCUUUGGAUGGUACAAAAUGUAAACGUGCAAGUCUCACUGGAUUAAGUAUCCGAGACACAAGGUGGCUUAUUCCUAAACACGGGAUUCCCUAUGUGGCAUUCUCUUUCUAGGGUUUAUUCAUGAUGCCAUUUAUUAAAGCGAUGUAAAUAUGUGAUAAAUAUGGCCUAAAGGACAUAGAUAAUGCAUCGAGGGGAAAAGGUCUAAAGUGAAAUGUACUAAUUGAAAAUUGAGUGCAAUAACCGAAAUUUAAACAUAUAAGUUAUCUAGUGGGUAGGUCACUAAAGAGUGCCACAGAGGCCUCUUAUUGCUAGGGCACAUGAAUGCAAUCCAAGAAAACAAAAGAAUGGUUAGUACAAUUGAUAGUACACAUAACAUAUUGGGAGCAAUUAAGAAUAAGAAAUAAAAUAGAACAAGUAAAAGGGGUGGAACCCCUUCCCUCGUGCCUAAUGUGCUUAAAAAAGGGUGAGGCUGACUCUAACCUAGGAAAAUUCUAACAUGGAUGCAUGAGGCUGGGGUUCACUAAUGCAACUAGACUCGAUAAGGCUUCGGCUCCCAAGCCUUCAGACCUAAAGGCAAAGGGUCAUCACUCCCAAGGCCUUCGAUCGGUGGCUCGAGUGAUCCCUCAGGUAGCGCUAUGGGCGCAGUGCACACCAUCCGCCUACCCAAGGCAAUCAAUCCUAAUCCUACAAGGCGGUGUGGGAUAGCGCCCACGAAAAAUAAAAUAAAAUAAAAUGGGAUAACAAUAAGGAAACGUGCACGUAUGAAGUGUUCCCUAUUUUGAGGGAAAGGGUUGAGAACCACGCGAGGCUCUAAAGGUGACACACACCCCCUCCAAAUGCAAUGCAAGCGCGAGAUAAGCAAGUAAACAUACAUCCAAUCAACCAAUCAUACAUUCGUGAGCGAGGGAGUAGUUGGAUACGCGUGAAAUGCAAAAAUCCUAAUAAAAGGAAAAAUGCAAUCCUAAACACCCAAAUGCGAUAUAUAAAAAGAUUAAAAGAAGAAAAAAAUUGAUUAAAUCAAAUUUGCUCGGACUCUCGAAUGUCCCCAGUGGAGUCGCCAACUGCCGCGCCCCAUUUUUUGAAUAAAUAAAUAAAUGGUUUAAAAAAAUGUAUUUUUUGAUUCAAUUUGUGAUUGAAAAAUGAAUUGUGAUUUAAAAGAAAAGUGGGUCUAAAUGGGGAUUUGAGAAUGCGACGAUUUGACCCAAAAUUAUAGUUUAAAAAGGGUGAAAUCAGUUUAAUUUGCCCAGAUUUUGGGUCACAGUGAAGUUAGACAGAAAUUGAGGGGUUGGAAUAUAAAUUUCAGAAGAAUUCCAUUCAUCUUCUUCGCAGACUUCUGCAACUUCCGCAAACCCGACAAUAAACAUAUCAGCAUGGUUACAAAUGAUUUAGUUCAAAUUCAGCACCAGCCAUUCUCAAAACUCACACAAACUCCCUUUUCAUAUAAUCUCAUGACAUAAUUCGAAUUCACAUCAAAAACAUCAAGCAAAACAGCAACAAAUGCCAAAUAAACGGAUGCCAAACAAACUAUCCGAAUCAACUAUGUUGACAAGCAUGGACUGGCCGAACAUAUGCAAACAGGAAUCAAUUGUCCUUCAAACAAAAUUUUAAGUUAGGCAUUUUAACAAACAGCAAGUAGGCAUGAGAAAUUCCCGAAAUUCUCCGUUCAAAUGACAUAACUCAGCACCCAAAAUUAUCAGAAAUCCCAAGUAAUUCAAACCAAUUUAACACAUAAAGCAUAUAUUCUAAAAUUCAUGAACAAUCAGCAUGAAAAUUGGAUUGACAGCCCGCGGCAGACAUGAUUUGAAAAUUUUCAUGGUCUGUGCUUGGAGAAACACUAAAAUGGACAGGAGAUGAUAACUUACAGACAGCCAUGGUGGAAUCCGACGAGGUGGUGGCGAUGGAUUUUGAUGAAGCGGUAGCGGCUCCUUGGGCAGGCGGUUGCCCACUUACAGCUGCCUGGUGACCGCUAUAGUGGUUGCGCGUGGUGGCGGCGGCGACAGACAGCACCAGCGGCGGAUGCGAGGCUGGUGGUGGCCGGUUGAGAUAGUGGAAAUUAUUUUUGCAGCCGUGACUGGAAUUUUUUCCUCUCCUUUGAUGAUUGAAGUUGAAACCUCCAUCUCCCUUGCCCUCUGUUUUCUUUUCUGCCCCUUUUCUGUUUUGUCUCAAUGCCCGAUAGCUCCUCUCCCCUGUUUCUCAAUUUUCUUGCUCUCUGUUCUUAGUCGAUGCCUCUCUCGUUCCUUUACUCUCAUUUUUUUUUCUGUUUUUCCCAAACCGUCAGCCUCCCCUGUUUUCCUCAAACUCUUGCUCAAAAAUUCCGCCGCCACUCUCUCCAAUUUCUCCCUUCCUUUCGAAGCCUCUCCCUCGAUUCCCAGAUUUUUGUUUCGUUCCCUUUUUCUUUGCAUCCAAUCCAGCCUCUGUCUUCCUUUUGCCCGAUCGUUGUUUUUCCUUAACCGAAGCCCCCUUCUCUUUUUUUCUUUUGCUUUUCCCCCGUAAGCUUUUUCUCGGUUCCUCUUUUGCUCUGUUUUUUUCUUUUUUUUUUGUUUUUUCGUCCGAAUCCUUUUUUUGUUUUUUGUUUCCUCUGUUUUUUUUUAGCCUCCCUUGCCGACCAUCCCCAAUCCUUUUUCAUUUUCUUUUCCCUCAAACCUCUCCAAGUGUCCUUAACACUUACUUCCUAUACACUUGUCUUAUAAUUCCUUAGACACUUGUCUAAUGAUUAUUUUGUACACUUGUCCAACAUGCACACUUCCACCUAUCCACACAUUUUUCCUUACUUUUUGUCAUUUUCAUUUUUCUUCAAAAAUCAAUUAAAAAUAAGUUAACAAUUUUCAAACCAAAUUUAAGAGAAUUAAAGCCACUUUUAACAUCUUACAAAAUGAAAAUGAUGAAUCUAACCCAAUUAAUAAAUAAAUAAUAAAUGAUAAAAAUGAAAUAAUAAAAAUUUGGUGUCUACAAUAAUGAUAAUUAUAUUUAUUAUUUUAAAUAUAAUAAUAUAUAAUAAUUACUAUAUCUAAUAUUAAUACGCAUUAUAUUUAUAUAAAAUAUUAGUACAAUUAAUAUUUAUCUAUUAUGUAUUUAUAAUUAUAUAUUUAUAUUAUAACAUUUGUAUAAUUAUAAUUAAUUAUAGAUAUAAUAUUUAAUUUAAUUAGUUACAAACUAAUAAUAAUGAUAUUAUUAUAUUAUAUAAUUAUAUAUUAUAAUUAUUUAGUUAAAUAUAAUUAUACUUAUAUAAUAUAUAUUAUACAUUUAUUAAUAUUAUAUAAUAUUAUAUUUAUAAUAUAUAUGUAUAUUUAUAAAUGUAUGUUAUAGGUGCAUAUAAUUAAAAUAUAUACAUGUAUGUAAUAUUAAUAGGUUAUAUGAUUAUAAUUAUAAUUAUUAUUUUAAAUAUAAUAAUAUAUAAUAACUAUAUUUAAUAUGUAAUAUAUAUUAUAUUUAUAUAAAAUAUUAGUAUAAUUAAUAUUUGCAUAUAUUAUAUAAUUAUAUUUAUAUUAUAACAUUUGUAUAUUUAUAUUUAAUUAUAUAUAUAAUAUUUAAUUUAAUUAGUUACAAACUUAUAAUAAUAUUAUUAUUAGUUAUAUGUAUUAUUUAAUGUACAUUAAUUUAUGUAAUAUAAUUAGUAUUAUCAAUCAUACUAAAAAUUAUACAUGUUUACUAAUAGAAAUUAUUAAUUAGUUAGACUAAAUUUACUAAUACAUUUAUACUAAUAUAUUUAAUUAGUGAAAAUUUCUUAUAUCUCAUUUACAAAGAGCCAAUAACUAUCAUUUACGAUGUGGUUUAUAAUAUAUUUAUUAUAUUCCAUUCCGAAAGAGUCGACGAACCAAAUAUCAACUAUAAUAAUGAUACACAUUCUAGGUACUUGAACCAAACAAAUAUAUUGAAAUGAAUGACCUCAUUCCAAACCCAAAAUAUUCGAUUUCGAAUCCGAAUCCGAUUCCGAUGUGCGAACCAAACGCCACCUAGAUUUGCUGUAACAAGAGGCCUAAGUUCCGUCCAUGAUUGAGACAGACUAUACCAGUAUGCCACCAAGAUCAAUGAAAAGUGAAGAAUUUUUAUUCUCGUCAUGGAUAAGUUCGGCCAGCUCAGGUACGUAUUUGCCUGUUAUAACAUGUCAAGGAGAAUAUGAGCAUAUGCGAACUUUUGACAAAAUGAACACCACAGUAGGAUUAAAAGUACAAAAACCUGCAUAACUCUCCCCAGCAUAUGACAAGAUUAUUAAUAAGGUUUAUGUAAUUUUUCUUUUGAAACCUUAAGACAAAGUUUAUUGUCAAUUUUACAGGUAGGGUUAAAAUUGGAAAUUUAUUAUAUUCCAUUCCGAAAGAACCAACGAACCAAACAUCAAGUAUAGUAAUGAUACCCAUUUCAGAUACUUGAACCAAACAGAUGUAUUGAAAAGAAUGGUCUCAUUCCAAACCCAGGAUAUCCAAUUCCAAAUUCGAAUCCGAUUCCAAGUUGUGAACCAAACGCCUACUUAGAAUUUUUAAAAAAAGUGUAAACUUUAUGGUUCUAGGUUUUUUAGCCCUGGUGAGAAUCAGACAGCGGCCGCACAGUUUUAAUAGGGUCAAGUUGAGUCGUUACAUAUUGUUUUAAGGGAUAAUUUAAAAAACCUCUCUUGAGGUUUCUAUCAGCUUUAUUAUACUCCCUUAAAGUUUUGAAAAUAUCAGUUACCUCUCUUAUCAAUCAUUUGAAACUCAAUAUUUACCUCAUCGAUAGACAAAUGACUUCGUUAUCCUUACAACUUGAGAGAUUUUUAUGUAGUUAUAUGGAGAGAAACAUUAAUUGAGGCCUUUUAAACUAAAUUAACCAUAAUUUGGAAUGUAAAAAAAUUUGGAAAUCUUGAAUACUAAAAUUUUUUAUGAUAAUUGUUAACAUUUUAAGAUUGUUUGCAUACAUAAUCCACUAAAUUCAUUUCCUUUCUAAUAAUCUAAACAUUGCCUAAGAGUUGUUAUUUUUUUCUUUUUAUUGCAAAUGAUAGAAAUUUCUCUUUAAUCAUGUGAAACAAUGGAUCCCACAAGUGAAAAGAAUAAUUCAAAAACGUGACAUACUUUAGUAUAUUUUAUAUUUUUUAUGAUUGGCAACCUAUUGUGGUGUUUCUUCUUGAAGACUCCACAAUUUGUACUGUCUAAUUUUUGUUCAAAAUCUUCCAAAUUCCAAUACUAAGAAUUCAAUAAUUCUACAUGCAAAUCUUGAUUUGAAAUUAAUAAAAUUUCCUCUCCAAUUCUUUGAUUUUGCUAUUUGAUGCAGUUUGAUGGAAAGUAGUAUUGAAUCCUACUUACUCAUGCUAGUAUUGCAAUUUCCCUCAGCUACAUUUACACUACUUAGCUCUGGUCUUUAUUUCGAUUUUUAUUUGAUAUUCGCUUUUGAUUCCAAGUCAACUAACAAGUAAUAAGUUGAGGGCACUUUUAGAAUGAAAUAUUCUUCCCACUCUUAAAAUCAUUUUUUCAUUGUUGAUUGUUUUUAAUUGGGCUGAUUUAUUACAAGAACAUUAGUUUAAGGAAGGUUAGUGAUAUUUUGAAAUUUCAAGGGAGAACAGUUAAACUAUCAGAAACCUUAGACAAGUUUCUGAAAUUAUCUAUUGUGUUAACCUUUGAGUGUUCCCCACACUAGGAAAUAGAGUUCACUCUAGGCAUAAUUCAUAUGGAGUAGAGGGGUCUAUUUAGUAGCUUUUGAAAAAUGGUUCUUCUCAUUUCUGGUUUGAUAAUUGAGUUGGACUGGAACCUCUUUAUAAAUCUAUGACUGCAGUGGCAGAUCAUAAGGCGAGGGACCUCAUGCGAGAUGGAGUUUGGGAUCAAUAUAUGUUGUAGUGGUGAUUGCUUCUUCGAUUGUUGAUAAGGUGCCACUUCUUUCUCCUCUUUCUUAAUGUUAGUACGUAUACCCUUAGAUCAAUCAACUUUUAGGGAUAAAAUAUGUUUCUGUAUCUUUGGUAUUUAGUUAAAUAUAGACAUAUAGUUUUAGGUUUUAUUCAUAUAAAAAUGUAAUAAUUGAUUCUAAAAUUAAUAUGGCUCCUAAACACUUAGAUGCAUUAAUUUGAUAAAAACUAAUUUUCAUGAAUAUGUAAGAAUCUCUUUUAAUUAUUCAUGCUAGCAAGUGUGAUUUAUCCUAAAACAUAGGAGGUCAAAUUGCAAUUAACCACAAAAAAAUUGAUUAAUAAGUCCGGGGUACUUUGGCCCAUUAAUUGCUAGAAAAGGAUAAUUUAAUUGUUACAUCAUUUUUUUUUGGGACAACAUACUCAAAGUUAACAUUUAACUGGUCAUAAGGGGCAAAGUGUAUAUUUUUUCGGUUUAGGGGGACUAAGUAGGAUUAACCUAUAGCCCGGGGGGCAAAGUAUUAUUAACGAACCAAAGUUAGACACGCUGAUUUUGACAUUUUGUUUACUGGCUGAAGUGGAUGAUGGGCAAUGUUUUAAAAAUCGGACCGUUAAUUGAACCGAUGAAGUGAAAGGGUCGAGGUUCAAUCGGUCGGACCGGUUCAAUGAAUUUUUUAAAAAUAAUUUAAUAAAUAUAUAUAUAUGUACAAAAUAAGAUAUGUAAUGGACUAAUUUAAUACUUUAUAUGAUGAAAAGUUUACUAUUUUUUAAUAACUUGGAUUUUUAAAAAUAAUUUUUUUAAAUUAUAAGUUAAAACAAAUAAAUUUCAUCUCAAUUUCAAUUAUAUCUAAAUCCAACCCAAAAAUAUCAAAAUCUUUUGAAAAUAUACAAAAUUCACGUAUAUGAGAAUUUAGAUAUUGUGAACUUAAAUUUUAAUUUAUGUUUUGAAAUUUAGAAAUUGCAAUUUAAAAAAGGAAGUUUGGAGUUCGAACGAAGCAAGAGAUUCGAAAAUAGAAAUGUAAACUUGAUAAGAAACAAAAAAUGAGCGGUUGUGACAUUAAAUAAUUUGGGUUAAAGGAAAAUAAUUCUUUUUUAACUUUUUUCAAUUUAAUGGACAAAAAUAAAAUUAAAAGAUGAAAGAAAACAUCAAUAAAUUAAAAAUAAAGAGGUUUGAUUAAAAAGGGAGUGACAAAAGAAAAGAGGAUAGAGAGAGAGAGAGAGAGAGAGAGAGUGUGUGUGUGUGUGUGUUGAAAAUUAAAAAGAAAUAGUCAUGAGACGAUGAGAUUUUGUAAAAAAAAAUAGAAAAAAGAAAUAUGAGUGUUUGUUUUAUAUAAAUAAGUUAUAAAAAAAAAUUAUUAAGAUGUGAUGGUGCAAUGGUUAAUACAUUGGUCUUCUAUUACAAAGAUCUUGAGUUCGAAUCUUAAUAGUUGCAUUUUGCAAAACCAAAAAAAAAAAAAGAGGGAAAGUUGAAAAUCGAAAAAUCACCGGUUCAAUCCGAUUUGACAGUUUUCACAGUUCGAUCGGUUUUUGACCGAUUUUCAGACAAAGUCAAACAUAGCAUAGAAUCAGACCGGUGCCAUGGUUGGUUCGCAAUUCAAUCGGUCGAACCGACCGAUUUGUUUUGAUUUUCAAAACAUUGAUGAUGGGCACGUAGUGGGAGUUUCUGCUGCAACCAAAUGGCCCAGCACCAUAUGCAAGUGGCCAAUUAUCAAUUAUUAAUACUUUGUUCCAACCAAAAAAAAUAUUAUAAUAUUUCUGCUUAGAUAAACUGGUUGGAGGUAAUGAGACACAUAAUGACUCGUACGGAUGACAUUUAUUUAGAAUUAAGCAUGACAAAGUAGAUCGAUUGCCUUCAAAUCCUCACUUUUGCAAAGUUGAUUGAAUAUAUGGAAACAAAUCCACUUUCCUUUUUCUAUUAAAGUUUGUGAUUAGUUGGAAGAAUGAGUUCUCAACUUGACAUUUGGGUGGUGGAGAGAAGAAUGAAGGCCCUCUAAUUUAACAGCACUUUAGUUUAGUGCUCUCCUUUUCAUCAUUCUUGGAACCAAUCCUCUACUUUUACUCCUAAUAUGUACAAACUCAACUGUCUUAUCUGUGCCUGCCCUAUUUAUGUAAGCUUUACAGCCCCAUGCCCCUCUCUUUUUAUGCUUUUUUUGCUUAGUAUUUGGUCCAAAAUGUUAAUUUUUUUUACUUUUAUUAGUAAAUCCCCGUAUACGAGGGAGGAAUGCCAAUUCUAAAUUGAAAGCCAUAAUAAAUAUAAACUUGGAAAGGGACAUAGGCCUGACCUCCAUUAUAAAAAAUUUAUGAAAACGUCAUUUUUUGUUAUUAAAAUGUCAUAUUUAUUGGUUAGCAUAAAUAAAUAAAUAAAUAAGUUCAUAGCUAGGAGUACUUCUUUAAAUGUUUUACUCAAUUUUUCACCGUUAUAUUUCAACAAUCAAACUACAAAAAUCAAACCAUAACUGCACUUUCCAAAUUUUCAAAAGCAAAAGUUUUUACGCUUUUAUGAAUUUGCACUUUUUAAACUAAAUAACACAACGAUUGAGGACACUUGAGGAUGCACAUAUUCUUCUCUAAUCUCGAGUGAUAAAACAAUAAUUGUUAAAAGAAUAUGAAAAUUUUAAAAUAUAUGUGCAUGCGUUUAUUUAUGUGUAUGGGUGUCGUCCUCGUGCAAGCCUUAACUAUAUAAACACUUUCUUUGGACUUCAACCUCCAAAUUUGAUAGUUCUAUUGUUAAUAUGUUUUUUAUUUAAAAUUUUUUGUUUCAAAAACAUUUGUGCCAGUAAGUGUUCUGGCUACAACAAGUACACAGGAGAAGUAACUGUUACCUUUUAUGCAUGCACUUCAAGGUAGGGGUGGGCAAAAUUAUCCACUAACCUAAAAACCCGUCAUAUCCGAUUCGAUCCGAUUCGAAAAUUAAGAUAUCCGAUUUUUAUUAUUUGAUUAGGUCAAAAGAGUGUUGGGUAUCCGCUAAGAUGCGGGGCGGGUUAGGGUCAUAUAAUUAAAACCCGUGGGUACCCGAUCCGCCCCGCAUAUAUAUAUUUUUUAUUUUUAUUUUUAUACACACACUAUAAAAUAAUAAUUUAGAACUAAAUAAGUAAUUGUAUUGAACAAAUUGCAUUACAAAUAUGAGAGACUAUAGUUUAUUUACAAAAUUCAUUCGUAGAUGUCAUGAUCUUAUGUUUUAUAGAAAAAAGUUUAAUUAAUGUGGAACAUAUAUAUUAAAAAUUGUGCUACUUAUUUCAAAAUUUUAUUGAUUUUGAAUUCUUUUAAUUUUUUGUCUUUAUUUUAUAUUCUCUUCAUAUGCUUGUUUCUUAGUGGAAACCUUUUUUGAGAAAAAAAAAUUUAUUAAAUCUUAGAUGAAUGUGUAAAAUAUAAAAUUAAAUUAGUAUAAAUCAUUUUUUUUUAAAAUAAAUGAUAAAUGGGGUGGGGUGAGUGCCCGCUGACCCCGACUCUAUCUCAGCGGGUACUCUAUAAUCAAGUACCCGCUAAUAUGCGGGGCGGUAAGGGUCAGAAAAUGGCUGAUCCGCAAGAUGCGAGCGGGGUCAGUCAAAUGGUGAAUGAGGCGGGUACCCGACCCGUGUCCACCCCUACUUCAAGGAACGUAAAAAUUAUCUACCUCUUGCAAAAUGAUCUACUUGUAAUUAUGGGAUCUCUCAUGUCUGAAAAUGCAAUUGGACAAAAUUAAAAAUUAAAGGAAAAAAGAUGGAAUGUGGAACAUUGAUCUUUUCAUGGUACCAUCCAUUACCAUAUAUUUAGCUUGUAAAUCAACAUUUUUACAUUUAUAACAAUAGUUCUCCUCGUUUUUACUUGUAGAUUGUGAUUUUCUUUUUCAAUUAUAGCCAUUGUCUUUGCUUGAGAUUGUUAUACUUGUACUGUCCCUUUGAAGCAAAUUGUCUAUCAAAGCAAUAAUUGACUAUACAUGUAUCACAAAUUUGUGUAACUUGUCAGAUCAAAAUUUGACCUGACUUUAAUUCAGUUUGCUUUCUUUUUAGUUGUGUGUGUCUAUAUAUAUACAUACACAUACAUACAUACAUAUAUAUAUAUAUAUAUAUAUAUAUAUAUAUAUAUAUAUAUAUAUAUAUAUUUGGCUAACUCGUCACUCUCAAAUUUUGUUACUAUAAUCUUUUUCACGUCGUAUUCAUUUAAAUCGGUUGACUUGAUUCUAAUUAGGGUUAUAUCUAAACAAAAAGAUAUACACCUAACUUGUCACACCCAAAAUUUGGAAAUCUUUUGGCCAGAUUUGAGUUACAAUGAUGCACCCAUGAUCUUUUUCCCCUCAAAAGUUAAGGCAUCUGGAAGAAUUUAGAAGUUAAAUUUUGGAAUUCAAGUUAGAUUCAAAGUUUUGUUAAUUUCUAUUUUACUCUUUGUUUGUUAUUAAGUUGCUUAGUCACUUUUAUUAAAUAUAAUUUAUUCCAUAUUAGUUGUUUUAGGUUUUGUGUAUUAAUUUGAUAAUUUCUAUUUGUGUUUUUUCUUAUUCACCAAAAUUUAUAGGUUAUUUGUUAUAUACUUCUGUUUUUAUAUUGAGUUGAGAAAAACUAAAAUUGCAUUCAGUCAUUUUUAAAAUGUUCAUAUUCUUUCAUUGAAAGUGGGGAUUAUUAUUCUUCUUCAACAGGUAUCCGUGCAUCAAAUAUUCUCAUUGCUUAAAUUUUUAGGGUUCAUUUGGCUCAUGAAUUGGAUGAAAUGGGUUGACUCAUUUUCAGAUUAUUAAUCUUGGGUUGAAUCAUCCUCAAAUUAAUAAUCCAAGUUAUCUAGUGUUUAGUUGGUUUUAGGUUGUCUAGGAUAUAUUAGGAAAUAAUCAUAUCCUGUGUUUGGUUAGAGAUUGGAUGAGAUAGAAUUACUAUUAUAAUGACUAAAUUACCCCUUAAUUUGUAGGAUCAUUUUAGUAAAAUAAUUUAAUAAUUUAUAACUUGUAUUAAAAUAAAGUAAUUUUAAACUUUAGAAUUAUAAAGUAAAUCAAGGGUUUGAUAUAUAAAAAUUUGCAUUCACUCAUACUUAGCCCAUUCAGCCCCUUAAAAAUUGGUUUUAACCUAACUUUUUAAUCUAAAUUUGCAAUUCAAUUCAAUAGUGGGCUGAGUUUUGGUUUAAUUAGAGUUAAAUAGAACAAAAUCCAACCCAUUUAAGAGUUUUAAAUGAGCCAAACUCAAGCCAAUAUAGAAAAAUUUUCUUUUGGCCGAGUUUGAACUUAUUGAAACCCCUGUUCGCAAAGCCCAAUUGAUAAUGUUAUGUAUUUAUAUAGAAUUCGGUUGAGAAAAUAAGGUUUGUGAGGGCAAUUUAGUCCAGUGACAAUAGAGUCCGUUUAUUAUGAUGUAAGUAGGGGCAAAUUAAUCAAAAAAUUUUGAUUAAUUAAUAGGGGUAAAUUUGUCAAAAAUUUAAAAUAACGAAUAGUGGCAAAUUGGUCAAAAAUUUUAAUAUAAUUAGUAGGGACAAUUAGUCUGUUUAUUAUCAUAUUAUUAUGUGAGAGUAUGGCUGUGUAAUAUUCAGUAUGAAUUUGUAUCAUUUGUAAAGACAAAUUAGUCCAAAUAUUGUUACGUUGGUAGUAGGGGCAAAUUAGUUAAAAAAAUUAAAUUAAUUAGUAGGGGCAAAUUAGUCCAUUUAUAUUAUAUUAUCAUAUAAGAGUAAGGUUAUAUAAUUAUGAAAGUAUAAAUUUAUAUUAUUUGUAAGGAUAAAUUAAUCUAAAAUUUCAUCAUCACAUCUUUUAGUCAUCUCGGGAUGACUAAUAUCACCUCUCUCAUGGGAUUAUUUGAUCCAAUGAUAGAGAAUUAAUUCACUUAGUUGGGAUAUGUUAUCCAAUGUGUAAAAUGUAACCAAACAUGGAAUGGCACAUGGUGAUUACUCUAAUCUUGUGUCAUCCCACAAACCAAACGGACUCUUAAUGGUUUGAUAGUUUCUAAAUUACGUAACUCUACACUUGGUAUUAGAGUUCAAGAAUUCAAAUCUUAUACUUGAUUUAUCCACUUGUGAUAAUAAUUCCAAAGUAAAUGAAAUAACAUAAUAAUUAUUUUUGGAUAAGAAGAUUGUAGUAUGAGUUUUUACUAAUACUAUAUUUAUUUAUUUAUUUUUACUUCUUUCCUCAUUUCAAAGGAUACGAACCAAGGUAUCCAACAAAUAUUGAUGCACUAUAAUUUUUUCCUCUCUCUCUCUCUCUCAAUUUCUUCCCCUCUCUCUAUGCAUUUGAUGGGAUACGUUAAGUAAAUGAAGAAAAAAGAAAAAUAUUAAAAAUCAAUCAAACAAAAGCUUUCAUUCUAAUCCCCUGGCUAAAGAGGCCAAGAAACGGAAAGUGUACAAAUACAAAAGGAUGUAGAAGAGACGAACGGCGCUGUGUCUGUGCUUUCCCGAUAUGCCCGGUGAGCUGCCCAAAUCCAGAUAUGACCUUACCUUAAUCCUUCGGGCAACGCUUUUUGAGCUUCGGGUCCUCCUCGAGUCACGCCCCAUCCUGCCGCUCACAUUACCCCUUCAAUUCUUUCUUAAUCACCACUCCUAAUCAACCUUAACAUCCAAAUAAUAAUAAUAACAACACUAAACAAAUAAGUAAAUAAAGAAAAAACAAUGGCCAAAAAAGCCUUAAUUUAAUAGUUAAAAUUGAGAGUUCAGCAUUUAGCCUUGGUUUCAAUCCCCUUCCCUCCUCUCAACUCCUUAAAUUUCACUUCUUUCUUGCUUAAUAAACACCCUCAAAACAAGCAUUGUAUAUUAAAAAAAAAAUAGGAAAAUGAAGUUUUGUAAAUGUCAAAAUUGAGUUUUUGUUAGUGAUAGUUUUGAUAUGUUACGCUUCCACAUGGACAAUUACACCAUAAAAUGCAUAUAUUAAUACAAUAGACAGAAACAAUAAAUGUAAAUACUAAGACAAAAAUGUAUAAAAAUAUAAUUUUUAAAAAUGCAAAUGCUAAAAUAGUAGUCGCAUUUUCAUGUUUCAGAAUCUACAUAAUUUGUUUAUUGAUUAUGUCCAUUAUGUUCGAUCAUAUAUUUUAGGGUGCAAUUGUCACUAACAAAUGCAUUGAUUUUUGGUUUUGCAAGGUGGUGAGGGAAUUUUAGGAUCUUUUUGUUGGCUUUGGGGUUUGCUCAGUUAAGAAGCAAGGAAACAAGACCACUGGAAUUUCGGGCAACAGAUCAACACAAAUGCAGUAGAAAUUUAUUUUAUUUUAUUUUUCCUUUUGAACUUCAUAACUUUUCUAUUGAUCUCCCCUUCUUCUUCUUCUUCUUCUUCUUCUUCUUCACCUGUCUUGCCAGCCAUUUACGAUAUCUCAUUUUCUUCAGCUUUUCAGUCUUCAGCUAUAGUCAAUGGCAGUAGUACUUUUUGGUCCCAUUUCACUUCUUUAGAAGCAAAUUUGGACAGGACAGAUGAUGGGUUUUCAAGAAACCUGAACUUCUCUUGCAUAAUUUGCGUGCUAAUGUCAGUUAAUUCGUCACAGCAAAGAAAAGAUGUACGAAAGAAAUCUUAAAACCUGAUCAAUGAUAUCUGAACAUGUAUGGAGAUUUGUUCUUGACUUGUAGUUUCUACCACGCUCUAAUUGCUCAUUUUGUUUUUCUUUUUGGUACAUUGCAGGAGCUAGCCCUGGAUCUGCCAAGAAUAAGCCCUUCAAUGAGAUCACAAGUCACAGAUCCAACUGUUGUAGAUUUGUAUUUUGUCGUCUAAUUGCAUGAUUUGCAUCUUCUCAAGAGACAACCAAGAUUAAACACAUAUUUUAUUACUCUACCAUUCAAUAUUAAACAGACCAGUCAAAAUAAAUGUUUCAAAUUUAUUUGUAUUUUAUUACAACUACUUUAGAGAUACUAGUUUAUUGCCCAUUUAUGCCUUUGGGAUUUAUCUCUCAUCUUCAUUUCAUUCAGUGUGCAAUUUCCACAUUUUCAGGCUCAUUAGCCAUAGCCAAGCUUUAGAUACGCCUGCAGCAAUUAGCAGUAAAUCACUUUCCUCACAUAUCAGGACUUGACAGCAAAUUAAUAGCGAUUGCACCUUCCAUAUUGCCUUUUCCUCAUCAACCUAGAACAAAAACAAACACAGCAAAAUCUGGAGAUAGAACAAGCUAUUAGCCACAACCACAUACAGAUCAAAGGCCAGUAAUCUGUAAUAUGUAUGUAUGUAUACAGCCUAUAUGAAAAAGAGAUGCAGACUUUUCAUCAGUACUUCUGUAGCUUUUCUUCUUAGCAGAUGAUGAAUUAUAGAGGUGGAUGGUGGCAGUACUCUAGUAGUACAACCAACACUACUGGCUACUUUAUGGUGUGUUUGUGUUAUGUGUACUAAAAAGUAGUGUUGUACAUUUCUCAGCAUCUGAUGCUUGCUCUACAUCUUUCUUUUCUUGUUUCUUUUUUUUUUCUUUAUAUUUUUUAAAUUUUAGAAUUGGUUUUUGAUUUAGUCUUUCUUUUUUAUUUUUUUUUGUGGUUAUAACUUGCAAUUUUGCUGCUGAUUUUUUUAGGGUAAGGAUGCGACUUGAGAGAGGAUUCCGUCUGAGCAGACUCACAGGCUUUUAUUUGCUUUAGAAAACACCACUGCAAAAAGCUUCAAACAACAGAAAGAGAGAAAGAAAGAGAGUAAGAAAGAGAGAAAGAAGUCCCCUUUGCUUUUGCCAUCCUUUCCUUUCUUCUCUUCUCCUCCUCUGACAUUACUAGCAGCCUGGCCUGUCUGAAACUGGAACGUGAUAUUUCAUACCGCAAAAAUAGUCUUUUUCAACACACACUCACACACUAUACGUAUUUUUUCUUUUUCUUAUAUAUAUAUAUAUACACACACAGAUAAAUGUGUGAUGUGUGUAUUUAUCCUUACAAAAGCCAAAGUACUCAGGGUAAUUGUCAUCAAUGCAAAGUACACUCUCAACCACACACACAAAUAGAUGCAGUCCCCCCCCCCUCCCUUCUUCCCCUCCAACCUGUCCACUCACUCCCACAGUUUUCUCUUUCCAUGACUUAACCUUGGGUUUGAUUUUCCAUUUUCCCUGCUCCCCAGAUUUCAUCAGGCCUCUCUUCUAUUUCGUGUUGUUUUAUUUAUUUAUUCUUUUGUUUACUCUCUCUCCUUCCUCUCCUCUAAACCUGGUUAAAUCUUGGAAAGGGCAGCUUGCAUCUUGGGUUUCUUUUUUCGCUCUGCAAGCUUAAUUUAUCUUGGUUUGGAAAGGUAUGAAAGUGGCAUGGAGAUGGAGGAGAUGCAAACCCCAGGGUGUAAAUUUCCGAGGAUCCGCAGCAGAAGUGGUAGGAUUAAUGAUGACGCAGCCAAGAUAGGGCAUAAAGGGGAUGACCAGUGCAAGCCUGAGGAAGAUGAAGCAGAUGGGGAGGAGGAGGUCAAGAGGGCCAACGUCAAUGGGAGUGCCAGAGGAGGAGGAGGUGGUGUUGGGGUGGGGGGACUGGAUAUAACUGCUUCGAGUGGUCUAGGUAGGCUUUGUGGGUGGCCUUCUUCUCGGAUUGUUAGGGUUUCACGGGCAUCCGGUGGAAAAGAUCGGCAUAGCAAAGUUUGGACUACGAAAGGACUAAGAGACCGGCGUGUUCGUUUGUCAGUGACCACUGCAAUACAAUUCUAUGAUCUGCAGGAUAGACUGGGUUAUGAUCAGCCCAGCAAGGCCGUAGAGUGGCUGCUUAAGGCUGCAGCCAGCUCUAUCGCGGAGCUGCCCUCGAUUAAUACAGCAUUUCCAGACACUCCUCAGCAGCUCAGUGAUGAAAAGAGGUCAAGUGCAGGUACUCAUGAGCUUGGCUUUGAUUCUGCAGAAAUGGACAUGGAAGGUGAACUCAAUUACCAGCAACAGCAGCAGCUUGGGGCUUUCUCUAAAUCUGCUUGUAGUAGCACUUCUGAGACCAGUAAGGGUUCAGGAUUGUCGCUUUCCCGGUCUGAAAGCCGGAUUAAAGCUCGAGAGAGGGCCAGGGAAAGAGCAGCUGAGAAGGAGAAAGAGAAAGAGAAGGAAGAAUCUUCUCGUGUAGCCCAUCAGCCACACCUGAAUGUGAACCCUAUUUCUGAAAAUUCUUCUUUCACUCAGCUAUUGACUGCUGGGAUGAGUAAUUCUGCUAAUGUUAGCAACACUAGCAGCAACAACAACACAACUGGUAGUCCUACAGGCGGUUCAAUUCAUCAAAACCCUGGCAGCGGCAGCGGCAGCGGCGGCGGCGGCAGCAAUGCCGGCGGUAAUGGUAAUAAUGGCACUGCAAAUGAGUCUAAUUUUUUCCACAAAUCAUCAUCCAGACAUUGGUCUUCUUCUACUCCUAUGGACUACUUUGCCACAGGGCUUUUAGGCCUGUCCUCUUCUUCCCGUGCUAUACAUCAACCAUCUGCAAGCUUUUUGGGGCAAAUCCAGCUGGGUAAUCCUCUUCAUCAGUCCCUGACGUCUGUAUCCUCCCCGCUGUUUACCAUCACAGCUGACCACCACCACCACCACAGCUCCCACACGAACCUUCCGCAUUUCUCGUUUGUACCGGACCACCUCGUCCCGGUUGUGACAGCUGCCGGUGGGAAUGGGAAUAGCCAAAGUAAUCAUACUGGUAACGGUAACGGCAGUAACAGUGAUUACAAUCUCAACUUUACCAUUUCUUCUCCAUCUUCUUCCGGCCUUGCUGGUUUCAAUAGGGGGACCCUUCAGUCCAAUUCUUCUUCUCCGCCGUCUCUGUUACCUCACGUCCAGAGGUUUUCGCCCAUAGACGGACCAUCAUCGGCUUUCUUCAGCAGCACAACCGCAUCUCCACCUAAUGCUGCUGUUGCACCUGUGGAGAACCACCACCACCAUCACCACCACUUUCUCCCCGGAUUCGAUGCCCGGUUGCAGCUUUGCUACGGCGACGGUACCCGCCAUUCUGACCACAAGUCAAAAGGAAAAAACUGAGUCAUCGUCCCACCUUCUAUCCUGGUAACUACAUUUCUGAUUCUUGGAGUUGUUAUAUUAUCUGUCCAUUUUAGUUUGUUUAUAGCCUCCUACUGCACGAGUUCUUGAGGGUUUUCCGCUGUGCUUUAGCCAAAGCAAAUUGUUUGGGUUCUUUUCGGAUCUACGUGUUAUUGUACCAUGAAUGAUUUUUUCGAUUUCUUGGUUUCAUAAAAAGCGUAACUAUUGGGCAGUAUCUUUUAUCAGCGCCAUCUGGUGUGUUUGUCUUAAUUUUGUGGCACAUGCAUGGAUACCUGCGACCAGGGGAACGGCUUGUUGUCUCUGGCUUAGUUAUCCUCUUUGGUUCCCUGCUUUCUAGCACGUCUAUGGCUAGGCCAGGUGUUAGUCUUUCAGAGAAAGAAGUGCACUCGUUGCUUUCUAGCAUGUCUUUGGCUAGGCCAGGUGUUAGUCUUUGAGAGAGAACUGCACUUUAAGAAAUGGAGAAGCUCAGAACCACACUCUUUUGCUUUUGUUUCCUAGAUUCCUAUUUUUUUUCCCCUUCUUUCUGCCUUGACCUGCCCCCCACAAAAGUAAAAGUAUAACUGUUAGAACAGGUGUCAAUUGGUUGGUAGCCAAUCCAAGAUUUGUCGGAUCACUUACUAUAUGGCAUUGUAUUGCUUGAAUGCAUCUUUUCUGUGUUAUAUAUAAUGCAAUGGUCUAUCCAUGCACGUUGGGAGUGCUUUCCGGGUAGCGUUUAUUAGCCGGAUGCCUUUGGCGUUUCAACUAGAAUUUUGUGCAUAAAGUUUUUGUUUUUCAAGUCCAAGGUCCAAACUUGCAUUGUCAGUACUGAUACUUUAGUGGGUUUUUGAAGUUAAAGGGCUAGACUUUCAGAACUCUAUAGAGGCCAUUAAAUGGGAUUUCAAGUCAAAGCAAGAAGAUAGGAAGGGUAGGCUGAUAUUGCUAAGCAUUCUGUUUUUCUUCAUUAACACGGUAGUUUACAUUUUGGACUAAUGACUUGAGCAAAGGGAAAUAAAUAUUUGCGAGCUUCAUAUUUUGUGUGAAAUUUUGAGAUUUUAGUGAAAUGAACUAUCCCAUUUGUAGCAUGUUCCAAAAAUUCUCCGACCCUGUUUACUGAGUGCUACAUGGUUUCCUCUUGAGUUAUGCAUUGAUAUGUGAUCAAGCUGUUUUAGAGGGGCUAAGAUUGCAUUCCUUUAUCCUCUAGUGGAAAAUGUUUAGCUGAAAAUCCCAUGAAGAUCAAAUAAUUCAACUGGAAGGCAAUGGGUCUAAAACUGAUGCUAAUAGCAAUAGCCUUGUAUCAAAUACAUGCCAUCACAUUGUGGAUUACGCUUAGGGGCCUCUAUAUGCACAUUUUUCUUUAAAAAGGUAAAAAUAAAAAUGUGAUCGUUUUCAGACUUGUACCAAAAAGUUUUUUCAUUUUGUAUGCUAAAACUUAUAUUUUUCUGUACGUAUCUGCUUAAUGUGUUUUGUUAAUCAUAAAUUUGUACUUAAUAAACAUUAUUUGGUGUAAUCUUUGACUCUUGAAGUUCUUGGAGGGCUUGAGGUUUAAGCUGAUAAGUUUGGAAUUUGAGAGGAGAGGAUCAAGUUAAACACAACACAAAAAAGAAAAUUAGUGGACUACUGGAAGAUUUUAUUUGGUUAUAGUAUUUUUAUGGUAUGUUUUUAGGUUGCCACAUGCCAGUUUACUGUGUAAGUAUAAGUUUGACUUUACUGUUAUUCAUUAUUAAGUUUUCAAAUGCAUUUGUAAAACCAUUAAAAUGACAUUAAUUAAUUUAAUGACAACCAAUAUGGAUUAUCUUUCAGAUAAAUAAAUCUCAAUCAUUUCAUUUACAAGAAUCAUAUAUCCUUCUAUGAUACUCGAUUGAGUAUUUUCCAUUAAUUAUUAAUUUAUUUCUCCUAAGCUUGGUAAGUUGGAAAGAUUUUAAUCCUUGAGAUAUGCAGAAUAGUUGCAGUGACCUAGGAUGGUAAUCUGUACCCCGAAAUUUUGAUACUUCUACCUAACCAUAACCUCUUAAGCUAAUCCGCAUGUUGAAUUCUUGAUUCUUUAGGCAUAUUACAAGAGUCUUUAUGCAGCUUAGUACAAAGAUAGAUAAUUUGUAAUCAACCAACUCUAUUGAUCACAACGACCAUAAAUGCAACAUGAUAUUGUAGAGACUAGCAUAUUUCGGGGACUAAAAUUUUUAUUACUAAGUCAAUCAUGUGUAUACUGACCACAAUUACCAUUUUAUCAAUUUUGGCUUUGUUUCUUUCCUUUUUGCUUUGAAAAGUAAGUGAGGGAUACCAACAGCAGCCAGCCAUUAGAAGUAAGAAGCACAAAUCUCCAAAUUUGAUAGUGAGGAACCUUUUAAAUCAUUCAUGAACAGAGAAACGGAAAGGAGAUAAAUAAUUUCAAAGGUCCAUAUGCUUUUCACAAAAAGGAUAAGUUGUCAUAGCUUAGGGUAGCAUUUGCAUUCUUUGUUAAACUUUUGGGACUUAAAAUAGGAGUAUUAGUCCAUCCCACACCACUCCCACUUAGAAGGAAAGUUUUCGACCCAAAAAAAAAAAAAGGUAGAGCAGAUUAUACGAUUAGUCUUCAUGCAUACCAGAAUCAACUGUAGACAGCGAAGCCAUACCAGACGUGUCAUUUGGCAUGAACUGCAAAAUCAAGCCAGUCUAAUGUCUUAUUUAUAUUUUGAAAGGGAAAAUCAUGUUCAUAAAGGUUAUAGAAUGAUUCAAUAUUAAGCAUGUAAUUACCAUGUAAUAGUGCAAGACAACUGAUUAUAGUUAGAACUAUGGUAGUAGCACACACUCAAUUGACCCAACUUUGUAUGGAAAAUCUUUCAUCUAAAUGUUGGCUCUAACAAGAGAUUGAUCUUCUCACUAUAAAUCUUCUAGGAGGUGCUAAUGCAUGGGUUUAUCCAGGAU
rnacentral:lncRNA from 1 species